UUGAUACCAUAAACAAAAAAUACCAUGUCUGCUUUUUAUUCAAUAAUAAUAAUACAAAGAUGACUGAUCCAAACAAUUUUAAGCUCAAACACAAUGUUAUAAGGUAAGAUAAGAACUAAUGUCACAAUAUUACAGGUAAAUCGUUUUUUUUCUUCCUGUUUUUCAAUUUUUAUCACUAUAAUAUUUUCUAUUCCAAAUCUUUAAGAUCCUCAUCCAUUGGUAUGGUAUAGAAGAAGUGUUCAAUUUGCUCGACUGCAUUAUCCUCGCCCUGUGUCUUGUUUCCUCUCUUUAUUGGAGCUAGGCUCUCCUUGUAAUUGAAAACCCAACAGCCAGCAAUGUUAAGGUCCAGCUGAAAUCCAAGAUCUGUAACUUGUCUUGUUGUAGGGUCAUAUAGCACCAGCUGUGAAGUUUCUGUGAUCUCAAAAACCAUGUUAUCGUUAUCCCAGAUGUUGCGAGGCCAAUGAGCAUCUAUAUGAGGUUGUACAGUUAGAACUUUGGACCAAAUUCCCUCUUGUUCAUACCCACACAUCAUAUAUGGAUGUCAUAGGUUUGCCAGGGUCACCGGUUAAUAAAGCAAGUGAGUUGCCACGCAAUGUAAGCGUCCCCCAAUGUUCACUUGGAAUAUCUGGGACUUGCAUCUCCCUAAACUGUUCGCUGCCCAUGUCAAAAGAGCGAAUCGUGUAGAUCUCAUCAAGGCCCCUAGAAAGCCAAUAAUAAACCCCGUUGAGAUAAGUGGCAUCAAGGGGUGCAGAUAAGGUAGAACUGGAAGGGAAUUCAGGAGUUAGGUGUUUCCAUGAGUUGUUGCAUGAGGAAUAAACACAGGCAUAGACACGAGGACAAACACCUUGUCCCGGUUCAUCCCAGAAUACUCGAAUCCAUACAACCUUAUAAUCUUGAGUCAACAGGUCAAAUCCCAAUCCGAACUGAUGAUCAUGGUCCGAGAAAAAGUACUCAAUCUCAAAAGGCGCAGGCGGCAGAGACCUGAACUCUCUGGUGGCAGGAUUCCACAAACCCAAGCAGACAUUGUCUCCAUAAAACUUCUUCUGCACUAAGAAUAAGCCAUCAACUGGACCAGCAACACACGUGAAAUCAGCGACCCUCGGAAGCUGAAGGAGAGUUUUUUGUUCAGGGGUCACACCUGGAACAAUUUCUUCAGGGAGCAAGGAGAAUACAACAGACCUUACGAUGGCGUCUACUUCACGUGCUACUUUCAAGUUGCAAACAAGGAGACGGGCACGAUUGUUCUUGUGAUGAAAAUGUUUUUCUAUGAAACUCGGACUUUUGAUGAGAGCAUACCAGUGCUUGCACACACAUUUGAAAAGCAAGAGUGAUUCCACUGGCAAUCUCAAUAGAAUAUCAACUACUAGAUCUUCUGGUAAAGGACAGCGACCAUCCAUACUGGUGGAAAUAUAAGUAGAAUGAGGCAACUUACAAACAUAUUGAAAGAGAGCAGAUCUAGAAAACAUGCAUUAAUAGAACACACAGUGCAACAAAAAAGAUCAAGUAGUAGCAUUACCAUGUGAAGCAAAAAAGGGGAAGUUACAAAUUUGACCACUCAGCCACAAAUAUUUACAUCCGCAAGCCAUUACACAUAUAUUAUGGGUAUACAUAUUUUUAAAAAUAUUUUGACAAAUCUUCUUGUAGAUCAAUUUUGGAGAAAAGAUCCAAAAUAGUUCCUUAUGUUUGGCUUCAGACUCAAGGUCAUCCCUUCCCUUUCUUUUAUAUGGUGCACUAAUAGUCCUUUAAGUUUCAAGUAUUAGUGCACUUUUAAUCUCUUCAUUAACAUCCAUUUACUCAUUAACGUUUUGAUCCUUUACACAUCCAUUUAUGGCCUCCGCUGUAUACGUUCUGGUAUAACACAAAUUAAUUCUUAGAUUUAUCUUAGCAGUUGCAGAUGAGUCUUCAUUUGUACUUGUUUUAUUUUUUGGCUCUGCAUCUUUCAUUGUUUGGUGUGCACCAUUCAAGAUUUGCUAAUUCUUUAACUUUCUCCUCUAUUUUCCAUACGCAAUUAAUAAGCUGACUAUAAGUCUUUGGGUUUUCCUGAAUAAAAGCUGACUAUAUAUCUGAAACAUAACCAAAGAAUAAAAUAAAAACAAGAAAAAAGGAAAAAUAUAAUACAUACUUAGUCUUCGUGUAUCAAUAUCUCAAAUUAGCAUCGGAUAAAAGUGCACUAAUACUUAAAACUUUGGAGGACUAUUAGUGCACCAAUUGAUGAUUUCGAAUCUAAAGCCAAAAAUAAAGGACUAUCUUGUAUUUUUUCUUUCGAUUUGGGCUGAUAUGGUUUGGACGGAUCAAUAAUCAGCCAAAUAGAGUCAAUAAGAGGAGACUAGUAAAGAAGUAGUCAUGCGGUUUUCUAGUCUUUUCAUUAACUAGUCAAUAAUUAUUUUUAAAGCUACAUAUCAAGUUAGCAUAUAGAGCAAUUUUGCAGGUAAUUUAAGGAUUAAGGAGCAUGAAACAGUAAUUACCCUUUUCUACUAAUAUCAAUCUACAAAUCCUUGGAAAUGGAACAAUUUUAACUUGCCCAAUAUUGAAAUGUAAAAGAUGGAAAGAAAUAAAAAGAAUUAGCAUAAACAGAAACAAUGACAGCAAAACCCUAUAUCCAUCCCCAAAUAGCACAAAUUCAGAUUCAGAUUCAGAUUCAAAUUCAAAAAAAUAAUCAGAAAUCUAACCUUAUAAGCUGAUGAAGAAGAAGUGCCGCAAUUACGACAAGGUAAAAAUGGAAAAAGAGAUUGGAUUGAUUGAGUGGUGUUGUAGAAAUACCUCCAACAGUUGACUACUUCCUCACUUUCCUACACUUCUUUUGUCAUUUUAGUUUAUAUAACUCCCCUUAAUUCCUUUUAUCCAAGUUUUUAAUACCAAGGGAUAUGAUGGAGUAAUAAGUACUUAUUCAUUGUUAAUUAGAGGUCUUGGAUUUGAAUCUUUUGGCUAUGAAGUCAUCCGUGUUAGGGAGCACUUUACCCAUAAUGUGAGAUUUUUCGACUGGGCUCUAAUAUGGAUACCGAACAUUGAGCGAUUUUUCUUUUUUUACCUUAGUGGUCAUUUGGUAGGUGGAUAAAGCUACAUCUAAUACAUGAAUCACUACAAGAAAAGUGCUGAUUACCUGGGAAUUAUUGUAGAGAAUAUAUGAUAACCCUAAUGGGUGGAGGGAGGACCAAUUUAUAGAGGUUAUGAUUUAAUCUGGUAUAUCCAUCAAGUAACCAAUGUACGGACGAGAUCUAUUCCUUAUUAAAUAUUAUUUAUGGUAUUACUUGCGUUACUAGUAAACUUGAGCCAUAAGUAAGAAAUAAUUAAUAAUAAUUAAUAAUAAUUCUUACACUUCGGGGUGCCUUCGCCAUAGUUCAAGUCUGGAGUCGGCCAUUUCAGUUCUUGAAAGCUUUUAAUCUAGCUAGUGUUAUUCAUAGUACUUCCGUGUACUUAUCGACCUUAUGUGAGUCCAAACUCGUUUGAGUUAUACAUUUACUUUCUAAUUGUGCACGAGUAUACAUACUUUCUAGGCUUAUAGAGGUCCAGUUAGGUUAUAGAUUAUUGCUUUACUUUACUACUUCGUUCUUUUCAGACUCGUGAGCUAUAUAGUUAGACUUUCCGUUAUUGCUUUGUUCAUUUGACCUCUAAUUACUGUUACUUUCAUAUUCUUCAUAUUGUUUUUACUUUCCAAGUUCAGUUGACCUAUGAUGCCUACUGGACACCUGUUGUUCUGAUAUUCAUGCUACACUCCACAUCUGUUUUCUUGAUGUGGAUUUGAGCGCCAGCCGACAACGGUGAUUGGAGCCUAAGUAAUGCGGAGAUCUUCUGAGAUGAAUGGUGAGCUAAUGGCGUCCUAGUUCGACUUAUCUCCAUAUGUAUAUAAUUUUUUACAUGUCUUUUGUAUUCGAGACAAAUUUAUUAAGUUAGUCAAUAGCAUAGGCUCGAAACUAUGACUAGAACAUUGAGUGCAUGACAUGCACAUCUUACUCCUUACUUUCCUUAUUCGUGCCUGUUUUUUUCAUACUUUCUAACUUUCACUAGUACAUUAUCCCUUGUUAAGGAAAAUUAUGUAAACAAAAUAGUAAAUGGCCUGAUCCACUUAAGAGUGAGGGCUAGUUCAUUGAUUGAUACAGCUAAAUCACAUUAAAUAAUAAAUACGGAGGAGGGCCUAAAAUACCCUUCAAGUAUAGGUAAUGGAACAAAAAUACCCUCUUCCACCUUUAGGCUCCAAAAUACCCUUCCAUCCAUCUAUAUGGACCUAUAUUACCCUUUCACUUAACAGAUUCUUUAAGACUAAUAAUUAAUCUUUUCAUUAAUGAUGUGACAGUCUUUAAUUGGUUGAAAUUGGAAUUAACCAAAAUAAGAAUUUCUCUUAAUUAAACCCAGAUCCAACUAAAUUCCACCCGACUCACUUAAAAUUCUAUUGACCCAUAUCUUAAAUAAUCAAACUUCAAUCAACAACUUGCUCCAGUUAUUUUUAAUCCCAGUCAAAAAAGAGGUACAUUAGACCAUAAACAACAUGAAACUUCCGAAAAUUCCCUGGAAACAUUCCAAGAAGGAAGAAGUGAAAUACAAGAUCAAGUGCCACUAUAAUCAUAUACCAAUAUACACCAUAUUUUGAAACACUAUGAAAAGUCCAGCAAAUCUCCAAUCUCUGGGAAACAUAAACUCAAAGCGGUAAAAUUUCUCAAAAUCCGAAACCCUAGAGUUCAAAAAUUAUUUCACUUCUUUCUUUUUUGCGAUUCAUAUAAAGCACCGCACGCAAAAAGCAAAACCAACAUAAUUUUGGGAAAUUCUCAAAGCAGAAUCAUGGAAUAGAAUAUAAAAAAAAAAUAAAAAAUUUAGCCAUAGCAAGAGAUUAUAUACUUGAUGAAGAAAAGCGAUAGAUAUCGCUUUUCUUCAUCUGCAAAUUUUACGAGAAAAUUAUAUGGAGAGAAAUUCAGUGUACAGAGAAAAAAAAGGAAACUCACCGCUACACACUCGAUUCUUCUUGUUUUUUUUUAAAGAUAUGGGUCAGUAAAAUUUUACGUGGGUUGGGUAGAGUUUAGUUGGAUCCGGGUUUGAUUUGGAGAAAUUAUUGUUUUUGCUUAAUCUAAAUUCCAGCCAAUUAAAGAUUGUCACAUCAUUAAUGAAAAGAUUAAUUAUUACUCAUAAAAAAUCUGUUAAGUGAAAGGGUAAUAUAGGUCCAUAUAGAUGGAUGAAAGGGUAUUUUUGAGCCCAAAGGUGGAUGGAGGGUAUUUUUGUUCCAUUCCCUAUACUUGAAGGGUAUGUUAGGCCCUUCUCCGUAAUAUAUAUUACAUUUUUGAACUGUUAAACUAGAAACAAGAUUUAGGAUUUUUCAAGUGGACCAAAAUACAGAUAUUGAUGCCGAGUACUUAAAGUCUGUUGCUUGCCGAUACUCUAAAAGUAGUAGUGUAUUUUUGGAGAAUCUAACAUGAGUGGAGAGUACACGCGCAACUUAGCUUAAAUUGUGUUGGUCCAAAAGGAAUGCCCCUUGAUACCAUAAACAAAAAAUACCAUGUCAGCUUUUUAUUCAAUAAUAGUACAAAGAUGACUGAUCCAAACAAUUUUAAGCUCAAACACAAUGUUAUAAGAAGACAAGAUACGAACUAAUGUCACAAUAUUACAGGUAAAUCGUUUUUUUUUCUUCCUGUUUUUCAAUUAUUAUCAUUAUAGUAUUUUGUAUUCCAAAUCUUAACGAUACUCAUCCAUUGGUAUGGUAUAGAAGAAGUGUUCAAUUUGCUCGACCUCGCCCUGUGUCUCGUUUCCUCUCUUUAUUGGAGCUAGGCUCUCCUUGUAAUUGAAAACCCAACAGCCAGCAAUGUUAAGGUCCAGGUGAAAUCCAAGAUCUGUAACUUGUCUUGUUUUAGGGUCAUAUCGCACCAGCUGUGAAGUUUCUGUGAUCUCGAAAACCAUCUUAUCAUUAUCCAAGAUGUUGCGAGGCCAAUGAGCAUCUAUAUGAGGUUGUACAGUUAGAACUUUGGACCAAUUUCUGUCUUGUUUCAUUACCCACACAUCGUAUAUGGAUGUCAUUGGUUUACCAGGGUCUCCGGUUAACAUAGCAAGUGAGCCGCCAUGCAAUGUAAGUGUCCCCCAAUGUUCACUUGGAAUAUCUGGGACUUGCAUCUCCCCAAACUGUUCGCUGCCCAUGUCAAAAGAGCGAAUCGUGUAGAUCUCAUCAAGGCCCCUACAAAGCCAAUAAUAAACCCCGUUGAGAUAAGUGGCGUCAAGGGGUGCAGAUAAGGUAGAACUGGGAGGGAAUUCAGGAGUAAGGUAUUUCCAUGAAUUGUUGCAUGAGGAAUAGACACAGGCAUAGACACGAUUAUUAGCACCUUGUCCCAGUUCAUCCCAGAACACUCGAAUCCAUACAACCUUAUAAUCUAGAGUCAACAGGUCAAAUCCCAAUCCGAACUGAUGAUCAUGGUCCGAGAAAAAGUACUCAAUCACAAAAGGCGCAGGAGGCAGAGACCUGAACUCUCUGGUGGCAGGAUUCCACAAACCCAAGCAGACAUUGUAUCCAUAAAACUUCUUCUGCACUAAGAAUAAGCCAUUAACUGGACCAGCAACACACGUGAAAUCAGUGAUCCGAAGCUGAAGGAGAGUUUUUUGUUCAGGGGUCACACCUGGAACAAUUUCUUCAGGGAGCAAGGAGAAUACAACAGACCUUACGAUGGGGUGUACACGUGCUACUUUCAAGAUGCAAACAAGGAGGCGGGCACAAUUAUUCUUGUGAUGAAAAUGUUUUUCUAUGAAACUCGGACUUUUGAUGAGAGCAUACCAGUGCUUGCACACACAUUUGAAACGCAAGAGUGAUUCCACUGGCAAUCUCAAUAGAAUAUCAACUACUAGAUCUUCUGGUAAAGGACGGCGACCAUCCAUACUGGUGGAAAUAUAAGUAGAAUGAGGCAACUUACAAACAUAUUGAAAUAGAAUAGAUCUAGAAAACAUGCAUUAAUAGAACACACAGUGCAACGAAGAAGAUCAAGCAGCAGCAUUACCAAUGUGAAGCAAAAAAGGGGAAGUUACACAUUUGACCACUCGGCCACAAAUAUUUAUAUCCGCAAGCCAAUACACAUAUUAUGGGUAAACAUAUUUUUAAAAAUAUUUUGACAAAAUUUCUUGUAGAUCAAUUUGGGAGAAAAGAUCCAAAAUAGUUCUUUAUGUUUGGCUUCAGACUCAAAGUCAUCCCUUCCCUUUCUUUUAUAUGGUGCACUAAUAGUCCUUUAAGUUUCAAGUGUUAGUGCACUUCUAGUCUCUUGAUUAACAUCCAUUUACUCAUUAACGUUUUGAUCCUUUACACAUCCAUUUAUGGCCUCCGCUGUAUACAUUCUGGUACAAAACAAAUUAAUUCUUAGAUUUAUCUUAGCAAUUGCAGAUGAGUCUUCAUUUGUACUUCGUUUUAUAUUUUGGCUCUGCAUCUUUCAUUGUUUGGUGUGCAGUAUUCAAGAUUUGCUAAUUCUUUAACUUUCUCCUUUAUUUUCGAUACACAAUUAAUAAGCUGACUAAGUCUUUGGGUUUUUCCUGAAUAAAAGUUUCUUGCGCUUUGCCUAUAUAUCUGGAGCAUAACCAAAGAAUAAAUAAAAACAAGAAAAAAGGAAAAAUAUAAUACAUACUUAGUCUUCGUGUAUCAAUAUCUCAAAUUAGCAUCGGAUAAAGGGUGUGUUCCGUAGAAAAUAGUUUCUAAUCAAAAUUUUUGGAAAAGAUUUUCUUAGGAAAACAAGUUCCAUACGUGACACUUCAAAAUUCAAAUGAAGAAAAUGACUUUCUAAAGGAAGUAGGGAAAACAAGUUUCAUAUGUGACAUUUCAAUUGAGUAUGUCCUCCCACUCUCUAAGACACCACAUAUUCACCUCACUCCCGUAGCUUCCAUACCCACUACCCUACACAUCUACCCCACCUCCGUCCCUCAUAGUAUUGUCUAGAUAAUACAUAAAUGCUUUUAGAAUAAUAUUAAAUUUUUUUUGCUUAUAUACCAAACACAAAAUAUACAUAAGAAUCUCACUUAUUUUCCUAGAAAAUAUUUUUCAAAAAAUAUUUUCCUUGGUACCGUACACACCCAAAGUUCCAAUGUCCUCGGAUAAUAUCAGCCAAAUAGAGUCAAUAAGAGGAGACUAGUAAAGAAGUAGUCAUGUGGUUUUCUAGUCUUUUCAUUAACUAGUCAAUAAUUAUUUUUGAGCUACAAAUCAAAUUAGCAUAUAGAGCAAUUUUGCAGGUAAUUUAAGGAGCAUGAAACAGUAAAUACCCUUUUCUGCUAAUAUCAAUCUACAAAUCCUUGGAAAUGGAACAAUUUUAACUUACCCAAUAUUGAAAUGUAAAAGAUGGAAAGAAGUAAAAAGAAUUAGCAUAAACAGAAACAAUGGCAGCAAAACCCUAUAUCCAUCCCCAAACAGCACAAAUUCAGAUUCAGAUUCAAAUUCAAAAUAAUAAUCAGAAAUCUAACCUUAUAAGCUGAUGAAGAAGAAGUGGCGGACAAGGAAAAAAUGGAAAAAGAGAUAUCGGAUCGAUUGAUUGGUGUUGUAGAAAUACCUCAACAGUUGACUACUUCCUCACACUUCUUUCGUCAUUUUAUUUUACUACUUCUUGGGAACGCGUUUGUUCCUCUCCUUUUUUUUUCUCGCGUGUGUUCCUUAUUAUUAUUAAAUUUUUAUAUACUAAAAAGUUGAGUUAUAAAAUAGAAAAUGCUGAAAUUAACAAUAGUAGUUUUAUCAUUUAUAUUUUAUUUACUAAAUAAUAAAAAAUAUAUACUGGAGCAUUUUUUGUUAACCUUCAUUUGUUGUUUCUCACUCUCUUUUCUUCUCAUGUUGAAAUUUGAUUGUGCAAUUACCUUCCUAUGAUAACAUCAAUCUUUGUGAAAUUGGUUCUUAAAAAGCAAAUUCAAAUUUUAAUUUUGGAAGUGUUUUUACAUAAUAGUGGAGAAUGAUUCUUCAUAUUCAACUUUUAAUUUUGAAUUGUAAUGAACAAUUACUAUUCAAAUACAAAUCUAGUUUAUUUUUAACCUUACAUUUAUUGAAUCUUUAAUGUGUACGUUAAUGAUAUAUAAUAAUUUAUUAAUUAGGUAUUUGAUUUAGUGUAGGGGCAAAAUGGUAAUUCAACUAUACACUUUCGAGUUUUCACUUUUAAUAAGUAAUUAUAAUAUAUACAAAAGAUUAAACCAUUUGAUAUUAAAAAAAUAUAUGUAUGAGUAAUAAUUAACAUUCAAUGGCAAAAGAAUGUAUCACAUUCUCAUAAACAAUAUCUCUAAGGCAAAAGUAGACAUUCUAAUUUGGACAAUUACUACUUAACUACUUAUGGGUUCAGCCAAUAAUCUGGAGAUAGGAGUUUGACAAUUUUUCAGCCAUAGUUAAAAUUCUACAUCAAUAAUAAAUAGCUUCUUAUCACAGUAAAUAGACAUUUGAAUAAUUAAUAUAAAUUGAGCAACACAAACUUUUCAAAAUGACUUAUUCUAGAUAUAUAAUAGGGAAAAGGGUCAAAAUUACCCCUCAGUUUUGUUUUAUUGGUUAACUUUAUCCUUACCAUUAAAAACAAGUUAUUUUUACCCCUGUCGUCAAUAAACUUAACAAAUAUACCCCUCCUUGAACGGAAACCCCCAAAUCAAUUGAAAUUACCCGAUUUUAAUUGAAAUUAUCCAAUUUCUUUUUUAACCCGAACUAGAACCCAACCCACUAAACUAAACAAAUUAACCCAUUUCCAAUCUUCUUCAUCUCAGUGUUCUUGGCUAAGUACCCUAAGAACACUCACAAUCUUUAUCAUAGCUAACACAUAAAUCCUACAUUGUCUGACAAAAUCAAUUGAAAAGGUUCGUUGGUUGAAUGUAUAACAAGUAAAUUAUUUUUGCUGAACAACAUCCCGCCUCUCUCUGUUGUGGGGUUCAGCGAAGAACAAGCCACAGAGCAAGUAAAUGGAAAAGUUUCAAUUUACACAUCAUCAUUCAAUCCAAUGAAGAAAACCAUUUCUAGGUACCAACCAAAUUACUUUUUGAUUUGUUGUCAGUAGGCUGCCCCUAAAUGUGUACCCAAUAGUACAUCUAAUUCUUCUUUACCUGGCUCGUAAAUCAAUUCAGUGGCCCUCCAUGAUUCUUGUAUGUGCACGUAAAAUUAAGCUACAAUGGAGGGGAGGUUUUUCUUUUCUCUAUCUUUUUAUUUGUUCAAAAUGUUUCCAAUAUAUCAUCAUAUUUGAUGAGUACUGGAUAUUUGAUGAUUACUGAUUUCUUGUAUGUAGCAAAUCAUGUGAUUGAACGACUGCAGUGUUUAGCCUAGGCAACCUUCAACAAACAAUUUGGAGAUAAAUAUCAGGUCUUUUCGAUUGAUUUUGUUAGACAAUGUAGAAUUUGUGUUAGCUAUGAUAAAGAUUGUGAGUGUUCUUAGGGUACUUAGCCAUGAACACUGAGAUGAAGAAGAUUGGAAAUGGGUUUAUUUGUUUAGUUUAGUGGGUUGGGUUCUGGUUCAGGUUAAAAAAGAAAUUGGAUAAUUUCAAUUAAAAUUGAAUAAUUUCAAUUGAUUUGGGGAUUUCCGUCCAAGGAGGGAUAUAUUUGUUAAGUUUAUUGACGGCAGGGGUAAAAAUAACUUGCUUUUAACGGUAAGAGUAAAAUCAACCAAUAAAAUAAAGUUGAUGGGUAAUUUUGACCCUUUUCUCUAUAUAACAUAUAUGGACAAUUUGAGGAAUGAAUGUUUCAACACAUGAAUAAUAGACUAAUAAGGUCAAUAGAUUAUACAUAUAAAUGAAAAGUUAAAUAAAAAUACAGCCUCAAAAUCACAUACUAUGAUCCAUCAUUUAUCUCCAAUUCGGUGGCCCAGUUUAUUUUAGGGUAUGGAUUCUUUUAUUUUUAAAAAAAAAACAUAUUUGAUUUUUCUCAUUUAGUUAUUCCUCUCCCUACUCAUAAAUAAUAAUCUCGAAAAAAUAUUUUUACUAAAGUAGAACACUCUAUCAAGAGCCAAAUAAACAUAUCAAAUUAACUAAUUAAUCUUUCAUCAAUUAUUGAUAGAACAUGAAUUGUAUAUCACUACUUUCUUCAUGUAGGAUACAAGAUAUUUCAAUAGAAAAACAAAAUCAUAAGAAAGCAUAUCAAAAUAUAAAAAAAGGACAUAUAAAAUACUUUGGCUGGACAAGGAGGAGCGGAUAAAAACAAAAGGAAAUUACUGCACAUACAAAAUGAUGAGCAAGAUUAGUUUUUUGCAGGAUAGUCUCUCAUCCUCCUCUUAUCAUUUACAUGAAAACCAUGCUAGGCAUUUUAUAGCAAUAGCUAGGAUGACCUUUGAGUAGAUAAUUAAUUUGCAUUAAUUUAGUUUAAUGAUUUUAGUCCAUAUCAAAUUUAUUUAAUGGAAAACUCUUCAAAUACUCUUGAUUUUACAGAAAAAGAGAAAUUGACUAUUAAUGUGAAUUUGAUUCAUGUACCAAUUUAAAUGAGUUUAAUCUAAGGAAGUGAAAAAAUCAUUAACAUUUUUAUUAAAACGAUACAAUUUAAUAUUUAAAUUAAAUAGUUAAAUAUUUUAUAACAUUUUAAUUUAUAAUAGGGGUAAAACGGUAAUUCAACUUUUAACUUUUUUUAUUCCCGCUUAUAGUAAUAUAUGAUACAACUCCUCUUAAUUCCUUUUAUCUAAGUUUUUAAUUAUGUGGUGGAGUAAUAAGUACUUAUUCAUUCUUAAUUAGAGGUUCCAGUUUGAGUCUUUUUGGCUAUAAAAUCAUCUCUGUUAGAGCGCUUUACCCAUAAUCUAAGAUUUUUCGACACAAAUUCAAAUUUAGUGAGGCUCUAAUAUGGAUAUCGAACACUGAGGGGAAAAUAAAAAUAAAAAUUACCUUAGGGGUUAUUUGGUAGGUGGAUAAAGCUACAUCUAAUACAUGAAUAACAAAGUUAUUUAUGUAUUUAAUUUAUAUAAUGUUUGUAUAAAAGUUAUUCAUAUAUUAACAAAGAUGUUUCUCUCUACGAUAUGUUCCCACAGGAGAAAGAGUUUGUUACUUGAAGAGGGGGGGGGGGGAUGUUGNNNNNNNNNNNNNNNNNNNNNNNNNNNNNNNNNNNNNNNNNNNNNNNNNNNNNNNNNNNNNNNNNNNNNNNNNNNNNNNNNNNNNNNNNNGAAGGGGGGGGGGGGGUAUUUGGAGUCUUUUAGCCACAGUUCGAAGCCCUGACAUAUCGAUCUCUUUUAGCCACGGUUCAAGGUCCCAACGUAUUUUGUUUUGCCACGGUUCAAGGUCCCGACGUAUUUUAUUUUGCCACGGUUCGAGGCCCCAUCAUAUCUCUAUUCGCCUUGGUUCGAAUCCUAACAUGUGGUUCAUUUGGGUUCUUCGGGGUGCCUUCACCAAAGUUCAAGUCUAGAGUCAGCCAUUUUAAGUUCUUGAAAGCUUUUAAUAUAACUAGUGUUAUUCAUAGUACUUCUGUGUACUUAUCAGGCUUAUGUGAGUCCAAACUCGUUUGAGUUAUUUACUUUCCAAUUGCGCACAGGUAUACAUACUUUCUGGGCUUAUAGGGGUCCAGUUAGGUUAUAGAUAAUUGUUUUACUUUACUACUUUGUUCUUUCCAGACUCGUGAGCUAUAUAGUUAGACUUUCCGUUAUUACUUUGUUCAUUUGACCUCUAAUUACCGUUACAUUCAUAUUUUUCAUAUUGUUUUUACUUUCCAUGCCCAGUCGACCUAUGAUGCUACUGGGCACCUGUUGUUUUGAUAUUAUGCUACACUCCACAUCUGUUUUCUUGAUGUAGAUUUGAGCGCCAGCUGAUAAUGGUGAUUCGAGCCUAAGAAAUGCGGAGAUCUUCUGAGAUGAAGGGUGAGCUGAUGGCAUCCUAGUUCGACUUAUCUCCAUAUGUAUAUAGUUUUUUAAUGUCUUUUGUAUUCGAGACAAGUCUAUUAAGUUAGUGAAUAGCAUAGGCUCGAAACUAUGACUAGAACAUUGAGUGCAUGACAUGCACAUCUUACUCCUUAUUUUCCCUAUUCGUACCUGUUUUUUUCAUACUUUCUAACUUCACUGGUACAUUAUUCCUUGUUAAGGAAAAUUAUGUAAACAACUAGUUCUUUGAUUGAUACAACUAAUUCACAUUAAAUAAUAACUAGAAUCUUAUUACAUUUUUGAACUGUUAAACUAGAAACAAGAUUUAGGAUAAGGGAACUAUUUAUUAACUUCACUUCUCCUUAUUAGUGUCAAAAGUUUCUCGUUUAGGAAAUAUGAAGUUUUGAAGGACUAAUAGUAUAUUAUCCUUUUUUAAAAUUGAACUCUAUCCAAUGGUUGAUUCUAUUUAUGAAUCAAUUCCUUAGGUGCAUUAUUUCCAUAGGUUUCAACAUUGGUAACAAAAUCUAGCUUUCUCGCUUAAAUUGACAUAUUUCUAUACUUCCCUCAUCUUAUCUAUCACUGAGGCCGCUCCCAUCUUAUCCCUUAUAUCCUUAUUUAUAAUUUUUAUCGCUCCGAGUAUGAACGUGCAUCCACCUCAAUAUAUAUUCACAUCUCUGCAACAUGCAUCUUCUAGACAUGGGACUUGACUGGCCAACUCUCAUUUCCAUACAACAAUUACAUACACACUCUAUAUAAAUACACACAUACAUAUAUUGAUGGAAAAAUCAUCAACAGAUGAAACUUAAGCAAUACUCCCUCCAUCUCAAUUAAUGUGACAGUCGGAAUUUUGUCUUUUAAAUUGUUAAUUAUUGUGAUUUACCAUUUUUCACAUAAUUUUCAAAUACAUAAAUUUUAUAUCAAAAAAACUUAAAGUUUCUGUAUCCGAAUUUACUAUUAAAUUAUAGAAGUUUGAAUCUCAAAAUUUCAACUAAUGCCACAUAAAUUAAAUCAACUCCAACACUCAGAAAAGCUACAAAAGUUCAAACAUAGAAAGUAAAAAAAAAUUUAAAAAAGAAAUAGAAAAAACCUUGAGAUAAUAUGUCUUGCUAAUUUCCUCUUCAGAUGCUAAUUAAAGGACUUACACCAAGAACAUCAUAAUACUCUGUGUCUUUCACCAUUUUCUUUUCUUUUUCCAAAAUCCCUAUUAACAAAAAAUUUACUCUUUUACCUCCUCCAAUACUCUAAUUACCUUUUUUUUCGCGCUUCUAAAAUCUUAAUACAAGAGCGAAAAACCACUUGAGUGUAAGGAAAGGAAACAAGCCAAACGAAAAAAAAAAAAAAAACUCUCAAAAUUAUAUGAUCAAGAAAACUUGCAAGUACAAAAGGAGAAAGAGGAGGGGGUGGGUGGGGUAUGAUGAAAAGAAUGUCUCAGAAUAAGAGAGUGCCCCAACGAGACAAAGCUGCCUUUCCAGUUCUGAUCAACAAAUUAAUUACGGAAAAUCUGUUGCUUGUCGAUACUCUAAAAGCAGUGUAUUUUUGGAAUUAAGAGGAGUUGUAUAAACUAAAAUGACAAAAGAAGUGUAGGAAAGUGAGGAAGUAGUCAACUGUUGAGGUAUUUCAACAACACCACUCAAUCAAUCCAAUAUCUCUUUUUCCAUUUUUACCUUGUCGUAAUUGCGGCACUUCUUCUUCAUCAGCUUAUAAGGUUAGAUUUCUGAUUAUUUUUUUGAAUCUGAAUCUGAAUCUGAAUUUGUGCUAUUUGGGGAUGGAUAUAGGGUUUUGCUGCCAUUGUUUCUGUUUAUGCUAAUUUUUUUUAUUUCUUUCCAUCUUUUACAUUUCAAUAUUGGGUAAGUUAAAAUUGUUUCUUUUCCAAGGAUUUGUAUAUUGAUAUUAGUAGAAAAGGGUAAUUACUGUUUCAUGCUCCUUAAAUUACCUGCAAAAUUGUUCUAUAUGCUAACUUGAUAUGUAGCUCAAAAAUACCUAUUGACUAGUUAAUGAAAAGUCUAGAAAACCACAUGACUACUUCUUUACUAGUCUCCUCUUAUUGACUCUAUUUGGCUGAUUAUUGAUCCGUCCAACCCAUUUCAACCCAAAUCGAAAGAAAAAAUCCAAGAUAGUCCUUUAUUUUUGGCUUUAGAUUCGAAAUCAUCAAUUGAUGCACUAAUAGUCCUCCAAAGUUUUAAGUAUUAGUGCACUUUUAUCUGAUGCUAAUUUGAGAUAUUGAUACACGAAGACUAAGUAUGUAUUAUAUUUUUCCUUUUUUCUUGUUUUUAUUUUAUUCUUUGGUUAUGCUCCAGAUAUAUAGGCAAAGCACAAGAAACUUUUAUUCCGGAAAAACCCAAAGACUUAUAGUCAGCUUAUUAAUUGCUUAUGGAAAAUAGAAGAGAAAGUUAAAGAAUUAGCAAAUUUUGAAUGGUGCACACCAAACAUUGAAGAUGCAGAGCCAAAAAAUAAAACAAGUACAAAUGAAGACUCAUCUGCAAUUGCUAAGAUAAAUCUAACAAUUAAUAUGUUUUGUACCAGAACGUAGACAGUGGAGGUUAUAAAUGGGUGUGUAAAGGAUCAAAACGUUAAUGAGUAAAUGGAUGUUAAUGAAGAGACUAAAAAUGCACUGACACUUGAAACUUAAAGAACUAUUAGUGCACUAUAUAAAAGAAAGGGAAGGGAUGACUUUGAGUCUGAAGCCAAACAUAAGGAACUAUUUUGAAUCUUUUCCAAACAAUGUUAAGCUCAAACACAAUGUUAUAAAAAGGUAAGAUAAGAACUAAUGUCACAAUAUUACAGGUAAAUCGUUUUUUUUUCCUGUUUUUCAAUUUUUAUCACUAUAAUAUUCUGUAUGUCAAACUCUAAGAUCCUCAUCCAUUGGUAUGGUAUAGAAGUAGUGUUCAAUUUGCUCGACUGCAUUAUCCUCACCCUGAGUCUCGUUUCCUCUCUUUAUUGGAACUAGGCUCUCCUUGUAAUUGAAAACCCAACAGCCAGAAAAGAUAAGGUCCAGCUGAAAUCCAAGAUCUGUAACUUGUCUUGUUUCAGGGUUAUAUAGCACUAGCUGUGAAGUUUCUGUGAUCUCGAAAACCAUCUUAUCGUUAUCCCAGAUGUUGUAAGGCCAAUGAGCAUCUAUAUGAGGUUGAAGAGUAAGAACUUUGGACCAAUUUCCCCCUUGUUUCAUUACCCACACAUCGUAUAUGGAUGUCAUUGGUUUGCCAGGGUCACCGGUUAAUAUAGCAAGUGAGCCGCCAUGCAAUGUAAGCUUCCCCCAAUGUUCACUUGGAAUAUCUGGGACUUGCAUCUCCCCAAACUGUUCGCUGCCCAUGUCAAAAGAGUGAAUCGUGUAGAUGUCAUCAAGGCCCAUAGAAAGCCCAUAAUAAACCCCGUUGAGAUAAGUGGCGUCAAGGGGUGCAGAUAAGGUAGAACUGGGAGGGAAUUCAGGAGUAAGGUGUUUCCAUGAAUUGUUGCAUGAGGAAUAGACAUAGGCAUAGACACGAUUAUUAGCACCUUGUCCCGGUUCAUCCCAGAACACUCGAAUCCAUACAACCUUAAAAUCUUGAGUCAACAGGUCAAAUCCCAAUCCGAACUGAUGAUCAUGGUUCGGGAAAAAGGCCUCAAUCUCAAUAGGCGCAGGAGGCAGAGACCUGAACUCUCUAGUGGCAGGAUUCCACAAACCCAAGCAGAUAUCGUCUCCAAACUUCUUCUGCACUAAGAAUAAGCGAUCAACUGGACCAGCAAGACACGUGAAAUCAGUGAUCCUCGGAAGCUGAAGGAGAGUUUUUUGUUCAGGGGUCACACCUGGAACAAUUUCUUCAGGGAGCAAGGAGAAUACAACAGACCUUACGAUGGGGAGUACUUCACAUGCUACUUUCAAGUUGCAAACAAGGAGACGGGCACAAUUGUUCUUGUGAUGAAAAUGUUUUUCUAUGAAACUCGAACUUUUGAUGAGAGCAUACUAGUGCUUGCACACACAUUUGAAACACAAGAGUGAUUCCACUGGCAAUCUCAAUAGAAUAUCAACUACUAGAUCUUUUGGUAAAGGACGGCGACCAUCCAUACUAGUGGAAAUAUAAGUAAAAUGAGACAACUUACAAACAUAUUGAAAGAGAACAGAUCUAGAAACAUGCUUUAAUAGAACACGCAGUGCAACGAAGAAGAUCAAGCAGCAUCAUUACCAUGUGAAACAAAAAAGGGGAAGUUGCACAUUUGAUCACUCAGCCACAAAUAUUUACAUCAGCAAGCCAAUACACAUAUAUUAUGGGUAUACAUAUUUUUAAAAAUAUUUUGACAAUUUCUUGUAGAUCAAUUUGGGAGAAAAGAUCCAAAAUAGUUCCUCAUGUUUGGCUUCAGACUCAAAGGAUGGAGUAAUAAGUACUUAUUCAUUGUUAAUUAGAGUUCUCGGGUUUGAGUCUUUUUGGCUAUGAAGUCAUCUGUGUUAGGGAGCGCUUUACCCACAAUGUGAGAUUAUUCAGCACAAAUUCAAAUUUAGUGGGGGAUCUAAUAUGGAUACCAAACACCGAGUGGAAAACCAAAAAUAAAAAUAAAAAUGACCUUAGGGGUCAUUUGAUAGGUGGAUAAAGCUACAUUUAAUACAUGAAUAACAAAGUUAUUUAUGUAUUUAAUUUAUAUAAUAUUUUGUUUGUAAAAUGUUGUAUAAAAGUUAUUCGUGUAUUAACAAAGAUGUUUAUCUCUACGAUAUGUUCCCGCAGGAGAAAGAGUUUGUUAUUUGAAGAGGGGGGGGGGGUAUUUGGAGUCUUUUAGCCACAGUUCGAAGCCCUGGCGUAUCUCUUUUAGCCACGGUUCAAGGCCCCAACAUAUUUUUUUGGCACGGUUCGAGGCCCCAACAUAUCUCUAUUCGCCUUGGUUUGAAUCCUAACAUGUGGUUCAUUUGGGUUCUUCGGGUGCCUUCGCCAUAAUUCAAGUCUGGAGUCGGCCAUUUCAGUUCUUGAAAGCUUUUAAUCUAGCUAAUGUUAUUCAUAGUACUUCCGUGUACUUAUCGGACUUAUGUGAGUCCAAACUUGUUUGAGUUAUAUAUUUACUUUCUAAUUGUGCACGAGUAUACAUACUUUCUGGGCUUAUAGAGGUCCAAUUAGGUUAUAGAUUAUUGCUUUACUUUACUACUUUGUUCUUUUUAGACUCGUGAGCUAUAUAGUUAGACUUUCCGUUAUUGCUUUGUUCAUUUGACCUCUAAUUAUUGUUACUUUCAUAUUCUUCAUAUUGUUUUUACUUUCCAAGCUCAGUCGACCUAUGAUGCCUACUGGGCACCUGUUGUUCUGAUAUUCAUGCUACACUCCACAUCUGCUUUCUUGAUGUAGAUUUGAGCGCCUGCCGACAACAGUGAUUCGAGCCUAAGUAAUGCGGAGAUCUUCUGAGAUGAAGGGUGACCUAAUGGCGUCCUAGUUCGACUUAUCUCCAUAUGUAUAUAAUUUUUUCCUAUCUUUUGUAUUCGAGACAAGUUUAUUAAGUUAGUCAAUAGCAUAGGCUCGAAACUAUGACUAGAACAUUGAGUGCAUGACAUGCACAUCUUACUCCUUAUUUUCCUUAUUCGUACCUAUUUUUGUUCAUACUUUCUAAAUUUCACUAGUACAUUAUCCCUUGUUAAGGAAAAUUAUGUAUCCAGAAUAGUAAAUGGUCUGAUCCACUUAAGAGUGAAGGCUAGUUCAUUGAUUGAUACAUCUAAAUCACAUUAAAUAAUAUAUAUUACAUUUUUGAACUGUUAAACUAGAAACAAGAUUUAGGAUUUUUCAAGUGGACCAAAAUACAGAUAUUGAUGCAGAGUACUUAAAGUCUGUUGCUUGCCGAUACUCUAAAAGUAGUGUAUUUUUGGAGAAUCUAACAUGAGUGGAGAGUACAUGCGCAACUUAGCUUAAAAUGUGUUGGUCCAAAAGGAAUGCCCCUUGAUACCAUAAACAAAAAAUACCAUGUUUGCUUUUUAUUCAAUAAUAGUACAAAGAUGACUGAUCCAAACAAUUUUAAGCUCAAACACAAUGUUAUAAGGUAAGAAAAGAACUAAUGUCACAAUAUUACAGGUAAAUCGUUUUUUUUCUUCUUCCUGUUUUUCAAUUUUUAUCAGUAUAAUAUUAUGUAUUACAAAUCUUUAAGAUCCUCAUCCAUUGGUAUGGUAUAGAAGAAGUGUUCAAUUUGCUCGACUGCAUUAUCCUCACCCUGAGUCUCGUUUCCUCUCUUUAUUGGAGCUAGGCUCUCCUUGUAAUUGAAAACCCAACAGCCAGCCAUGUUAAGGUCCAGCUGAAAUCCAAGAUCUGUAACUUGUCUUGUUUUAGGGUCAUAUAGCACCAGCUGUGAAGUUUCUGUGAUCUCGAAAACCAUCUUAUCGUUAUCCCAGAUGUUGCGAGGCCAAUGAGCAUCUAUAUGAGGUUGUACAGUUAGAACUUUGGACCAAAUUCCCUCUUGUUUCAAUACCCACACAUCAUAUAUGGAUGUCAUAGGUUUGCCUGGGUCACCGGUUAAUAAAGCAAGUGAGUUGCCACGCAGUGUAAGCGUCCCCCAAUGUUCACUUGGAAUAGCUGGGACUUGCGUCUCCCCAAACUGCUCGCUGUCCAUGUCAAAAGUGCGAAUCGUGUAGAUCUCAUCAAGGCCCGUACAAAGCCAAUAAUAAACACCGUUGAGAUAAGUGGCGUCAAGGGGUGCAGAUAAGGUAGAACUGGAAGGGAAUUCAGGAGUAAGGUGUUUCCAUGAAUUGUUGCAUGAGGAAUAGACACAGGCAUAGACACGAUUAUUAGCACCUUGUCCCAGUUCAUCCCAGAACACUCGAAUCCAUACGACCUUAUAAUCUAGAGUCAACAGGUCAAAUCCCAAUCCCAACUGAUGAUCAUGGUGCGAGAAAAAGGCCUCAAUCUCAAAAGGCGCAGGAGGCAGAGACCUGAACUCUCUGGUGGCAGGAUUCUACAAACCCAAGCAGACAUCGUCUUCAUAAAACUUCUUCUGCACUAAGAAUAAGCCAUCAACUGGACCAGCAACACACGUGAAAUCAGUGAUCCUCUGAAGCUGAAGGAGAGUUUUUUGUUCAGGGGUCACACCUGGAACAAUUUCUUCAGGGAGCAAGGAGAAUACAACAGACUUUACGAUGGGGUGUACUUCACGUGCUACUUUCAAGUUGCAAACAAGGAGACGGGCACAAUUGUUCUUGUGAUGAAAAUGUUUUUCUAUGAAACUUGGACUUUUGAUGAGAGCAUACCAGUGCUUGCACACACAUUUGUAACGCAAGAGUGAUUCCACUGACAAUCUCAAUAGAAUAUCAACUACUAGAUCUUCUGGUAAAGGGCGGUGACCAUCCAUACUGGUGGAAAUAUAAGUAAAGUGAGAAAACUUACAAACAUAUUGAAAGAGAACAGAUCUAUAAACAUGCUUUAAUAGAACACACAAUGCAACGAAGAAGAUCAAGCAGCAACAUUACCAUGUGAAACAAAAAAUUGUAAGUUACACAUUUGACCACUCGGCCACAAAUAUUUACAUCAGCAAGCCAAUACACAUAUAUUAUGGGUAUACAUAUUUUUAAAAAUAUUUUGACAAAAUUUCUUGUAGAUCAAUUUGGGAGAAAAGAUCCAAAAUAGUUCUUCAUGUUUGGCUUCAGACUCAAAGUCAUCCCUUCCCUUUCUUUUAUAUGGUGCACUAAAUAGUUUCAUUUUCUGGCAUUCGAAAUCCUUUUUAUUACAGUUCUAUAUUUGAUUCUGUAUCAUAUAUAUAUAUAUAUAUAUUUAUCCCUGUCGUCGCCUUAGAUUCAUUGGCCUGAAUUUGAACAUUUAUGUAGCUCGGAACACUCAAAUAUCCGCCGCACUAUACCUUGAUUGCUUUUGACUACAUCUAUGACCAGUAAGUACAAGAUUGAUUGGGUAUUUGGUUUGAUUUUUGAGUUUGUCAUAUAUAUACAUAUGAAGCACUUUGUUAUUACACGAUAUAUCUUAUGAAUAAUAUAGGCAAUGUUUAUGAAGAAUUAGUUUUUAAAAGUUUUAGUUCAAUAACUUUGAUUAAUAUAUAUACUUGUAUGUGUUUGUAUAUACAUUUAUUUCUGGUAUCUCAGCACAUGUAUCAUACCCCAAAUCCUAAAAUUCAUGUGAUGAAGAAUUUGACUUUUAGAUCCGCAACCGUUUUGGGUCCAAGCAAUUUUCUUGUGUUAGAAUCUAAAAGCUGAUUUUCAUUUCUAAAAUCGUAAGUUAAGAAACGAAAGAAAAAAAAAAUACAGAUUUCCAUCUUAAAAAUUUGAAGUCUUCCCAUUUUCUAGUGAACAAGCGGUGAUUUGCUUUUCUAAUUUUUUCCUCACUUUUAAAAAGUGUCUUUUUCCUUAUAGGAAAUAUUUUCCAAAACAUUUGAUCAACCGAACAUAGCAAAAUUGGAAAACAUGUAUCGAACACACACAGAUAAAUACAGAUUUCCAUUUUAAGUCUUCCCAUUUCUUAGUAAAGAAGUGGUGAUUUACUUUUCUAAUCUUUUUAUUAGGCAAUCAAUGAUUUUCUUUUUGUAUUUUCAACGUGGAAUGUUACUAGUGCAACUUAUUUUCCCUACUUUCAUCAUAGAAGUAAUUUAAUCACUUUUAAGGAGUUUGUUUUCUAUAGAAAAUAGUAUUUUCUAAAACAUUUGACCAACGAAAAAAAAGAGAAAAUUGAAAAACAUGUAUCGAACACAACCUACAUCAAUUUUGAAACAGAAAGAGAGAAAUGAAAAGUGAAAAAUGGUGGAAGGAGACAUAUAUAUGUGCCAUCUAAUUUAAGAGCAAAAGCAUAACGUAGAGAAAGAGAGCAGCAAAACACAAAUACAGAAAAUUGAAAUCUAACCUGAGGAAGAAGAGCCGUAAAUGAGAAAUGAGAGUAGUGAAGAAGAGGCAAAAAGCUUUGUCUAUUUAUACUACCUACUAAUUAAUUUAGGACCAAAAAUUUCCAAAGUAUUUUUUUUCUUAGAUUUUGUGUCUAGUCAAAAGAAUGUCAUUACCACUAAGCCCAUUUUCUCAUCUAAUUAAUUAUUGUCUCUAUUGCAAGAGUUUUAUUUGAGGUGUUUCACACCCUUUAAGAAAAGUAGAUUAAGACAUAAAUUGAACAUACUUUUCCAUUUUUACCCUUAUUAAUUAUUGUCAAAUUUAUUGAAGUCAUCACAUUGAAAAUCCAAAUGAAGGGUAAAAUUGGAAGAAUAUUUUAAAAAUAGUCUUGAAGAUUGAACAAUUAAGUUAAUUUGAAAAAUGGAAAAUGCCUCAAAAAUUCAAUUAAUAUGGAAUGAAGGGAGCAUACUAUAAGUGGGAAGCUCCUAAUCUCAAAGUUGAUACAAAAAUACCUUUUACUAUUUUUUUUAUUAAAUAAAUAAUUAAAGUUAAUUAGACCAAAUUUACAUGAUUAGCUGUUAGAGUUUAUCAUUUCUUAAUGAGGCUUUAAUUGUUAUCCUUUGAGCUUCUUCCAUUUACACUUAUUCAAACAGUAGUUUAAUGCUUCACACUUAAGUUAUGAUUCUUCUACCUUUCAUCCUCCGCAUUAUUCUUUCAUCUUCCGCAUUAAUAAUUUUCUCUUAAAACCUUUUCUUAUUCCUUACAUUGCAAUACUCUCUAAAAGCUUACAAGAAGUUGUCUUAGCCCUAUUAUUCUAUUUGUGUUCUAUCGGUCAGAAAUUUCCCUUUUUCAGGUAUAUCUAUGAUUUAUAUGUAUCUAUAUGUGGUUUAAAUCUCAUUCUUGAGAUGGUAUAUGUUAUUUAAUAUUAAAAUAUAAUUAUCUUUUAAGUUGGAAUUAUUUGUCCCAAUGAAAGAUUUAGUAAUGUACAAUACACUUUUCACUGAAUGUUAUAAACACGGAGAUUAAUUGUUUUAAAUGGAUAUACUUCCGUGCAUAUUGUCAGAGAGUAAUUCCUUUAAUACUUUGUUAAUUUUAUUCUGUUAGAAAUUUAAUUUAUUAUCUACUUGAAUAUUGCAAUUUGGUGUAGAAGCUUUUAGAUUAAAGGACUUUUUAAUCGUUUUUAAACUGAAAGACUACAUCAUGUUUGCAUAAGAAAAAGUUCAAAUGAAAUUCAAAUAAAAAUAUCAAUUUAUCAAUUUUUCGUUCUCCAUAUAUAGGUUUUAUUGACGGGAUGCUAGGUAUCCAAACAACCUCUCUUUUUAAAGAAAUAAAUUUUCUCUAUCUUUUUAUGACAAAUGAAGAAAUUUUCUCUAUCUUUGUUAUGACAAAUGUUAUAGGCUUAGACUUUGAUCUUCAUCUUCAAUUAUUAUUACAUACAAUUUAUAAUUAACUUGCUACAAUGGGCAUAUCACUUACGUUAUUAUAUAUUAAUACUUAGCGAUAAAUUCUUCUUUCUAUAGGUCAUUUUUGAAAAUGCUUAAAGUAAAAAAUGAUAUUAAUAUAAAAAAUUGUGUCGCAUAUAAGUUGAUACAAAAAAACACCAAGAACUAGAUAGAUAACAAUAGAUCUACAAUAAAAGUUUUGAUCAUGAUAAAGAAAUUGAAACAUCGAAGUAGAACAUAUACAAUUAAAAAUAACAUCUAUAAGAAAGUAUUAGGUAAAUAUAAUUAUAUCACAUAUUUACACCUAAUAGUAUUACUAAUGAACUCAUUUUAUACUGUGCAUAUCUAACUAAAUUAUAUGGGUACACUUUUCAAGUUUAGAUGACAUCGAAUAAUCAACUCAAUUUUUUGACUAUUCUUUAAAUUGAGCAUGUAAGUCUUUUCAUAUUAAAUUUUCUAUUUAUCAUUAUACACAUAUUUUAAUAUUAUCUUUAUCUAUAUAUAUACUAAUUUACACCGGAGAUAACACUUAUUAGAGACAUUUUUUGAUUAUCUAGAUUGUUAUAAAUGAUAUUACCAAUUAAAUUAGGAUACAGGUGCAUGACACGUGGCCAGAAACUAGUACAGUAAAACCUCUAUAAAUUAAUACUCGGUAAAUUAAUAAUCUCUCUAAAGUAAUAUUUUUCUCCGGUCCCGACUUGGGCCAAUGAAAAAAAUUCUCAAUUUCGAUAAGAUAAUAAGAUAUAUAUUUCCAGAAGACCCCUAUAUAAAUAUAUGGUCCCAUUGAUAUCAUAAAUUAAUAAUUCUUUAAAAGUACAAAUAUAUCUAAGACAAUUUAGUGAAAUAUGAUUCUAUUGUGUUCUGUUUUUUUCUUAAAAUUUAAAUCUAGUUGAAACUCAUCUCUAACUUUUCUUAUUGCAUCCAAGAGCUCCGAUAUUAUCUUUUCGAACUGCACUAUAAAAUUGUGAAGAGUUCUAGAUGCGAUAAGUGCUUCAUUACGCGCAACUGGUUCCAAAGGUAUAAUAUCAUCUUCAACUUCAUCAACAACAUUGCUUUUUCCGAUGGUAUCUGUAACACCCGUAACUAGAAAGAACUAAAAAGGAAUUUUUAAAAAGAGGAAAUAGUCAUUUUUGGAAAGUAUAAAAAUUUUGAAAUUUUCAAGUGUGUUAAAGUUGAGUUUUUGGUCAACUUCAAAUAACCAUAACUUCUAGCUCAUGAUGAGUUAGGUGUGUUUCCAAAUAUCUUAGAAAUAUCUUGGAAUAAUCUUUCCAACGCCGCCAAGUUUACGCGAUUCCGAGUUCGUAUGAGUGAGUUAUUCCCUUUGGAAGUUGGGCUGUUCAAAUAAUAAUGUCCAAUCCGGAUUUUUAAAGGGUGUUUUGGUCUUUUCCAUACCCUAUUAUUUUAGUUCGUUUUUGGUGAAUUAAUUAAGGGUCAAAACUGAAUUGGUUCAGUUUAGGCAAUUGGAGAUUUAUGCUAGGGUUUUUGGAGAAAGAACGCAAGAGGAGAAAAGAGGAGAAAGAGCAAAGUUCGUCGUUCUUGAAGGUUUAGCUUGUGGAUUUCGACAAGGGUUGAUCCCUAAAGAGGUAUGUGAGUCUUUCAUAGCAUUGAGUUCGUUCACUUACGGGCCAAUCAUGUUUAUUUCAUCGUAAAUUCGUCCUAAAAGAGUUUGAAAGUUGAUGUUCUUGACAUCUGUUCUUGAAUUUGAUAUUAUUCUUGAGUUGAGCUGAAAUUGAGAAGUUUCUGAGAUCAUUACGUCAAAUUAUUGAGUUGGUUGAAGUUAGGAUUUUAGGUACAUUUGCUGGGUAUCUGUAUCUAAAAAGAAUUUGGGAAAAAGAAUCGAAUUUGGGCGAAUUAGGGUUGGAAAAUGAAGAAGAAAAUUCGUCGGGCAAAUCUGGGAUCAUUACGUCAAAUUAUUGAGUUGGUUGAAGUUAGGAUUUUAGGUACAUUUGCUGGGUAUCUGUAUCUAAAAAGAAUUUGGGAAAAAGAAUCGAAUUUGGGCGAAUUAGGGUUGGAAAAUGAAGAAGAAAAUUCGUCGGGCAAAUCUGGGCACUGGUUCCGCGUCGUGGACCUGCUCCCCAGAUUUAAGAAAAGUCAUUUCGCGUUGCGGUCAUUGACCGUUCUGCCUCAAAAAGUAUUUUUGCGACCAAAAUUUAAAUACGCCUCCGCGUCGUGGACUAGUUUCCAGGCAGUGAUUUCUUGAUCAUUUCUCAUGUUUAGCUAUCUAAAAUCAUUCCUAAACAUCAUGAGAUCUUUCCUGUCACAAAUCUCAAUCCUUGAACCCACAAUUCAAUUCAAGGAGCAGUUAAUAGUCAAGAGAAGUUCAUAGAGUCUUCCAAGGGUCUUUUACAAAUAUUUUAACUUUGUNNNNNNNNNNNNNNNNNNNNNNNNNNNNNNNNNNNNNNNNNNNNNNNNNNNNNNNNNNNNNNNNNNNNNNNNNNNNNNNNNNNNNNNNNNNNNNNNNNNNNNNNNNNNNNNNNNNNNNNNNNNNNNNNNNNNNNNNNNNNNNNNNNNNNNNNNNNNNNNNNNNNNNNNNNNNNNNNNNNNNNNNNNNNNNNNNNNNNNNNNNNNNNNNNNNNNNNNNNNNNNNNNNNNNNNNNNNNNNNNNNNNNNNNNNNNNNNNNNNNNNNNNNNNNNNNNNNNNNNNNNNNNNNNNNNNNNNNNNNNNNNNNNNNNNNNNNNNNNNNNNNNNNNNNNNNNNNNNNNNNNNNNNNNNNNNNNNNNNNNNNNNNNNNNNNNNNNNNNNNNNNNNNNNNNNNNNNNNNNNNNNNNNNNNNNNNNNNNNNNNNNNNNNNNNNNNNNNNNNNNNNNNNNNNNNNNNNNNNNNNNNNNNNNNNNNNNNNNNNNNNNNNNNNNNNNNNNNNNNNNNNNNNNNNNNNNNNNNNNNNNNNNNNNNNNNNNNNNNNNNNNNNNNNUUAGAUGAUUCUUUAGUGCUUUUUAGCAUAGACUAGUGGAUCCACUUAGUAGUUUAGGUUCUAUACUCAUGGCAAGGUAUAUGAUGUCCUUGGCAGUGUGAGGCAAAACGUUGUAUCAUCACAAUAUCUCUUAAGUGAUGGUUGUCGGUUAGAGAAACUCCCACACAAGUAUUUUGUAUUCUUAUAUACACAGAUUAUUUGUAAUUUCAUAUAAAAUAGAGUUCAUAUUGUAUCUUUGCAUACAUACAAAGUUAUUAUUGUAUUUCUAGAUACAUAGAGUUUCUUUCCAUGUUUUAAAAGCUUUUCUUUAUAUUGCAUUUAUAUUACUGCUUUAGUUGAGUUGAGACUAGGUUUGUCGUACAUUCCAUGUACUGAUGCCAGUUGGCCUGCAUCGUUUUAUGAUGCAGACGUAGGUAACUAGGAUCAACAUCCAGUGCAUCGUUGAUCCAGUUGAGCACUCAGAGUCUGGUGGUGAGCCUCCUUUGCUUUUCCGGAGGAUCCCCUUUUUAUUGCUUUCAGUAUUUGAUUUCAUUAGGAUGUCGUGGGUCUUGUCCCGACAUCUAUAUCAGUUUUAGAGGCUUCAUAGAUAGACAAUCAGAUGUUAGUUAUUUUAGUAAUUUCAUUGUCAUUAUCUUAUGUUGAGACUUGUGUUUGCCUUAAUGGCCAGUUGAAUGUUCAUUUAUAACAUUCCAGUUUAUUACAUAGAUUUAUCUUUGUUGAGUUAAGUCUUCCGCUGAGUAAGUAAGCCAGGCCAAGGGUUUUCUUGGGGCCAACAAUGGUUCUCGAGUGCUAGCCACGUUUGGGGUGUAGGCUCGGGGUGUGAAAAACUUGGUAUCAGAGCAUAGAGUUCAAGAGUCCUAGGGAGUCUAUGAAGCCGUGUCUGUAGAGUCCUAGUUAUCGGUGUGAAGCGCGCCACAUCUAUAAUAGGAGGAUGCAACAUUUAGGAACUAUCUCACUUCUUUCACAUCCAUUUCGUGCGAUAAAGUUAAUCUCUAUAAAGUUUCUUCCAAUUCGUGGUUGUGCGUGUAUUUCAGAUCAUGCCUCUACGAAGAGCUGUCAAAGGUCGUCCGACUAGAAGGAAGGUUGAACCACAGGAACAAGGGGUACCUAAUGCACUAGAAGUGUAACCCCAAUGAGACGUCACCAAUGCUGAGUUCCUUGAGGCCAUUCAGAUGUUGAGCCAAGUUGUGACCAACCAAGCUGGGCAACAGAGAGAGAAUCUUCAGGAAGUGGCUGAUACUUCUAGAGUUUAUGAGUUCUUAAAGAUGAAUCCUCCAAACUUCACAAGUUCAAGUGUCAGCUUUAGACCUAAGGGGAGAUGACGAGAUGAAAAAUCAAGUCAAGUGUUUGAGAAUAAGAUAGUAAUGAGUCCCAAAAAGUAUGGGAGAUAUCUUUUCAGAAGACUUUUAGUAGUGAAGUGAUGUUAAAAGGAAAAGGCUAAUGAUCCAUGUGCAACAAGUUGAGGAGGACAAGCUGAGGGAUAGAGAAUAGUUUAAGAAUAAGAGGGCGAAGACAUCAGGGAAUGAGUCCGGGUGGCAGAAGAGUAAUGCCAACCGGUCUUCCUUCCAACAGAAACAAAAGUGACCUGCUCCAUCAUCUACUAGUGCACCUGUACCAAGAAACAAAUGUGAGUACAAUAGUCAGAAUUCCCAGAAUUUUAGAGCUAGACCUGCACAUUCUCAAGGCAGUGUUGCAUAAGGAGGUAAUGAGACUCAUGCAUAUGCUAAGUGUGGUCGGAACCACUUAGGGGUGUGACGGGAUGACUCCACUGGUUGCUUCAAGUGUGGUCAAGACAAUCAUUUUAUGAGAGAGUGUCCUGAGAACAGGCAGGGUAAUGGUAAUGGGAGACAAUAGAGCCCAGUCUUCUUCAGUUGCUCCACCAGACAGAGCUGCACCUAGAGGAGCUACUUCAAGUACUGGCGGAGGAGCAAACCACCUAUAUGCUAUCACUAGUCGCCAAGAGCAAGAGGAUUCACCAGAUGUUGUUACUGGUAUGAUCCAAGUCUUUAACUUUGACGUUUACGCUUUGCUAGAUCCAGGAGCGAGUUACCAUUUGUAACUCCAUAUGUUUCUAUGAAUUUCAAUUAUAUUCUGAGCAACUUAGUGUACCCAUCAGUGUUUCUACACCUGCUAGUGAGUUUAUUCUAGUAGAAAAAGUCUAUCGUGAUUGUUCCAUUUUCGUUAAUCACAAGAGUACCAUGACUGAUUUAGUUGAGUUAGACAUGGUAGAUUUUGAUGUCAUUCUAGGUAUGGAUUGGCUUCAUGCCUGUUGUGCCUCAGUUGAUUGUAGAACUCGAGUUAUCAAGUUUCAGUUUCCAAAUGAGCCAGUCUUAGAGUGGAAAAGUAGUUCAACAAUGCCUAAGGGUCGUUUCAUUUCAUACCUUAAGGCAGGAAAGUUAGUUUCCAAGGGGUGUGUCUAUCACUUAGUCCGAGUUAAUGACUCUAGUGUUGAGAUACCUCUUAUUCAGUCAGUUCCAGUAGUAAAAAAGUCUCCAGAAGUCUUUCUAGAUGAUCUACCCGUAGUCCCUCAUGAGAGAGAAAUAGACAUCGGUAUAGACCUUCUUCUAGAUACUCGUCCUACAUCUGUUCUGCCAUACUGAAUGGCACCAGUAGAGUUAAAAGAGUUGGAAGAGCAGUUGAAAGAUCUCCUUGAUAAAGGCUUUAUUCAACCAAGUGUCUCACCUUGGGGAGCUCCGGUCUUAUUUGUGAGAAAGAAAGAUGGUUCCCUUAGGAUGUGUAUAGAUUACCGUCCGUUGAACAAGGUUACCAUCAAGAACAAGUAUCCUCUUCCGAGAAUUGAUGAUUUUUUCGAUCAACUUCAGCGUGCCACCUGUUUCUCUAAGAUAGAUCUCAAAUCUGGCUACCAUCAGUUAAGAGUAAGAGAAUGUGAUAUUCCAAAGACAACUUUCAGAACCCGUUAUGGUCAUUAUGAGUUUCUAGUCAUGUCCUUUUGUUUGACCAAUGUGCCUGCAACAUUCAUGGACCUUAUGAAUAGAGUAUUCAAACCUUAUUUAGAUAUGUUUGUUAUCGUCUUCAUUGAUGACUUACUAAUCUAUUCAAGAAAUGAAGAAGAUCAUGCUAGUCAUCUCAUAAUAGUUCUCCAGACCCUAAAAGAUAAAAAAGUUGUAUGCUAAGUUCUCGAAAUGUGAGUUUUGGCUUGAGUCUGUGGCAUUCUUAAGCCACAUUGUGUCUGGAGAGGGAAUUAAAGUUGAUACUCAGAAAAUUGAGGCAGUACAGAAUUGGCCUAGACCCACAUCUCCAACUGAUAUUAGAAGUUUCUUAGGUUUGGCUGGAUAUUAUUUCAUCCCCUUUGACCAAGUUAACUCAGAAAACAGUUAAGUUUCAAUGGUCUGAAGCUUGUGAGAAAAGCUUUCAGGAGUUGAAAAAGAGGUUGACUACUGCCCCAAUAUUGACCUUACCAGAAGGUACGCAAGGCUUUGUUGUAUAUUGCGAUGCAUCCAGAGUUAGUUUGAGUUGUGUGUUAAUGCAGAAUGGUAAUGUUAUAGCUUAGGCCUCCAGACAGUUGAAAGUUCAUGAGAAGAAUUACCCAACCCAUGAUUUAGAGUUGGCUGCUGUAGUUUUGCUUUGAAAAUAUAGCGUCAUUAUCUUUAUGGUGUUCAUGUGGAUGUGUUCACCAAUCACAAGAGUCUUCAAUAUGUGUUUAGUCGGAAAGAGCUUAAUCUCAGACAAAGGAGGUAGUUAGAAUUACUCAAGGAUUAUGACAUGAGUAUUUUUAUCACCCAAGUAAGGCUAAUGUUGUUGUUGAUGCCUUGAGCAGGUUGUCUAUGGGUAGUACCGCCCAUUUUGAGGAAGAUAAGAACGAGUUAGCAAAAGAGGUGUAUAGACUUGCAUGACUAGGAGUUCGACUAAUGGAUUCCACAGAAGGAGGAGUAGUGGUGAUGAAUGGGGCUGAAUCAUCAUUAGUGUCAGAAGUGAAAGAGAAGCAAGACCAAGAUCCUUUAUUUCUUGAAUUAAAAGGCAAGUGUUCAUAAGCAAAAAAGUGAUGGGUUUUGAGAGAUGGUGUUUUGAGGUAUCAAGGUGGAUUGUGUGAUUGAUUUCAAGGGUAAUUUGGGAUGAUCCCCUACCUCUCAUUAAGUUUGCUUACAACAAUAGUUACCAUUCUAGCAUCCAAAUGGCUCCAUAUGAGGAUCGGAGAAGAUGCAGAUCUCUUAUUGGAUGGUUUGAAGUUGGUGAAGUUGGGUUGAUAGGUCCAGACUUAGUUCAUCAGGCUAUGGAGAAGGUGAAAGUUAUUCAAGAGAAGUUGAAAAUUGUCACGACCCGAGCCUACACCUAGACGUGGCCGGCACUCGAGAACCAUUGCUGGUCCCCAAGCGAACCCUUAUCCUGGCUAACUACAAGCGGAAAACUGAUUCAAGCAUACAAAGCUUAAAACUGAAUAGCAUUCAUGAAACUGAAAUACAAAGCUUUAACUCAAAUGAAAAACUCUGAAUAAAAUAAUAUAUUCAACUCGCCAUAAAAUAGGCAACUUAAGUCUUUAAAACAUUUAAUAAAAUAAAUGAAUAAUACAAACUUCUCAACUAUACUAACUAUCUAUGAAGCCUCUAACUGAUAAAGAUGGAAGUCGGGACAAGACCCACGACCUCUUAACUAAACUAAAAAGUAAAUGAAAUCCUCCGAAAACGAGGAGGCUCACCAUAGCUAACUCGAACUCCCGGAUGUGUCAACGAAUCUCCUGUUGAUGAUCCUGAAUACCUGUGUCUGCAUCAUGAGAAGAUGCAGGCCAAAUGGCUCAGUACGCGGAAUGUACGAGCUUGUAAGAGGAAUUCUAAAGCAUAAACAUAAGCUUGAAACUUGAUAAAAAUGGAAAAUACUUGCCUCUUUUCAAACUUACUCAACUCAAGGAAUACUCAAGGAUACUCAAAACUACUCAAACGUACUCAACUCAGAAGUACUCAAAGAUAAGAUACUCAACUCAAAGAUAUGUUAUUCGACUCUGGGUACUCAACUCUGUAUACUCAACUCAAUAUAAAGCAACAAUAAGAGAUGCAAUAUAUAGAAAGCUUUAUAAAAUAGUAAAAACAACUUAGUUCGUUAAAGAAAAUGCAAUAACAAACUCAACUUUACUUAUACAAUAAAGUAAUGUAGUUUAUGUGGAGUUUCUCCAACCGACAACCACCACUAUGAGCCUAAGUGNNNNNNNNNNNNNNNNNNNNNNNNNNNNNNNNNNNNNNNNNNNNNNNNNNNNNNNNNNNNNNNNNNNNNNNNNNNNNNNNNNNNNNNNNNNNNNNNNNNNNNNNNNNNNNNNNNNNNNNNNNNNNNNNNNNNNNNNNNNNNNNNNNNNNNNNNNNNNNNNNNUUAAUAUGAACUCGCAUCCCCAUAUCGAUGCUCAAUACUACUCCCAAAAAAUAUACUUAGCUCUUAUGUUUUAAAAAACCAAACUUCUUUCUUUGGUUUGAGAUAAUUACUCAAAACUUAGCUUAAAAGCUUUCUUGGAAUCGAUGUUCCCUUUCUUGCUCAAAACUCUUUUGGAAAUCUUAAUUUCCUCUCAUCUUAAAUGUGAAAACAUUACUCUUGGAAAUACUUAGUUCCCAUAUAUUAUUUUAAAGAAAAUGAACUUUACUCUUACUCUUUACUCAACUUCAAAGCUUAAGUCUUAAAACAAAAUUUAAACAUUUGUAAAAGACUUCUUAAAAUAUGGUUCAUGCCGAAUUAUGGACGUGAACGACUCAAUGCAAGGUUUUCAAUAACCAAAGAUAGAACUCAAUACUUGGAACUCAAGAACUUCAUUGUUAAUACUCGUUGCAAAAAUGCUCAACUCAGAGGGUUCAUGCGGAAUUAUGAGCAUGAAUAACCCAACUCAAACUUCAUGGGUAACAUGUAAUAGUCCCAUGAUUAGAACUAUAAUCUCAGAGGGGAUUAGAAACUCAAAACUCAAGACUUAGAACUUGAAGAUACUACUCCUUUCAAAGAUAUUGAACUGAUGGAGUUCAUGCAGAAGUUAUGGGCAUGAACGACUUGACUCAAGGGUCAAAAUAUCAAUAANNNNNNNNNNNNNNNNNNNNNNNNNNNNNNNNNNNNNNNNNNNNNNNNNNNNNNNNNNNNNNNNNNNNNNNNNNNNNNNNNNNNNNNNNNNNNNNNNNNNNNNNNNNNNNNNNNNNNNNNNNNNNACUUUUAACUCUCUCUUGAAUGUGAAUUAUGAAUUCAAGAGUUAUGGCUCAAGCUAUAAAAGAUAUCAUGACGAAAAAAUAGACUCAUGAAUACAUUCUCCUCACUCUCAUGCUCACUACUUGAGUGUUGAAAGAAGUUACUAGAAGUUGUAGAAGACUCCACAAAAGGACUCAAAGGGACUUUCUUAGAAUGUUUGAAAGAAUUCUCAAAACUUAGCUCUCAACUCUACCUUGAAUUUGAAUUAUUAAUUCAAGGUUAUGAUAAUGUUAUGAAUGAUUUCUAGGUGUUUAGAAGUAGUUUAAAGUGUUUAGAAUCAAAGGGGAGUAAAGGUACCAUUUGAAAGAACUCAAACAGACGAAACGAUGAACAACGGGUGGGGGCCGGCGACCCUGGCGCUCUGAGUCACGUGGGGCGCCAGCCCCUAAAGUUCAGAGAGGUGGUUGGGGCUCUCUGGCUGGCGUGACACUCCAGGCCCCAACCCAGAAAAGUUCGACGACUUUCUUUGCUCGUUUUCUCACCCUAAGUCGCCUAAAAUCGAACAGUUUCUUCCCCAAUCACUUGGAUUUAAUUAAUUAACAUUAAUACACUCUCAUAUACUCAAAACAACACUCAAAUUACUAAAUUUCAUUUGAAGAAAUCAUCAAAACCCCAACACAACAAGAUUUAGAAUGAACUUCAAGAACACCUAUCAAGAACUCAAAUCUUUCAACUUCAAGAAUGAAAUUUGGGCUGAAAAUAACAUGUUUGGAGUGUGGGUGAACAAACCCAACAUUAUGGAAGCUUACAUACCUCUUAGGGAUCAAACCCAUGGCAAAAAUCUGCAACAAGACGGAAGAAUCUCGACGAACGCUUGAUCCUCUCCUCUUUUCUCUUCUUUUCUCUUCUUGAACUCUCAACUAAAACCCUAGGCAUAAACUAGGAUUAUAAAACUGAACAUAAUCAAAUUAUACCCCUAAAAUAUUACUAAAAACGAAUUAAAUCUGAUUGGGUAAGGAAAAGACCAAAAUACCCCUUACUAUUUUCGACUAACUUUCCUUAACUGGGUUGCCUAACUUCAAAAGGUCAUAUCUCACUCAUCCAAACUCGAAACUUAGAAAACUCGUUGGCGUUGGAAAGAUAAUUCAAAGAUAUUUCCUACGGUAUCUGGUAGCACACCUAACGCAUCCUGAGCUAGGAUUUAUGGUCGUUUGAAGUCGACCCAAAACUCAUACUUAAGCAUAACUUGCAAAAUUUCAGAUUUUGCUAUUUCCAAGUUUGAACUUUUUUGGAACUCAAGGUGCUACAUCCAGUGACCUUAAAACUUAAGAAAUUUUUAAUUCCUUGGAAAAAUCUCACUUACUACGAUGAACGGUUCGAGUCUUAGUUCAAUUUUUUUUUUGGGUGUUACAAAAACAGCGUAGAGUCCUCAGAAAUCCUACAUUGAUGUUAGGAGAAAGAAGUUAGAGUUCGAAGUAGAUGAUUGGGUCUACUUGAAAGUUUCACCCAUGAAGGGUUUUAUGACAUUUGGUAAGAAGGGGAAGCUUAGCCCCCGGUAUAUUGGUCCUUACAGAAUAUCCAAGAGAUUCGCAAUGUAGCUUAUGAGUUGGAGCUACCUCAAGAGUUAGCAGCGGUUCAUUCGAUUUUUCACGUCUCCAUGUUGAAAAAGUGCAUGGGCGAUCCUUCUUUGAUCAUACCAACCGAAGAUAUUGGGAUCAAGGAUAGCUUAUCUUAUGACGAGAUUCCUAUUCAGAUUCUAGAUCGCCAAGUUCACAAGUUGAGAACAAAAUAGGUAGCAUCAGUCAAAGUCUUUUGGUGGAAUCAAUUUGUUGAGGAAACUACUUGGGAAUCGGAGGAGGAUAUGAAGAAGAGAUAGCCACAUCUCUUCGAAUCAGGAGAAAUUCCAGAACAAGGUACUAAUUCAUUUCUUAGUACUCUUUAACUUAUGAGAUUGCAUGUUGUAGUUGCAUUGGUUGUUGGCUGUUUGAACUGAAUGUUAGAUGUUAUGCCCUUAACUUACUAAGAGUAAGCUCAUUCGAGGAUGAAUGUUCCCAAGGGUGAGAUAUUGUAACACCCGGUAACUAGAAAGAACUAAAAAGCAAAUAGUCAUUUUUGGAAAGCAUAAAAAUCUCGAAAUAUUUAAGUGUGUUAAAGUUGAGUUUUUGGUCAAAUUCAAAUGACCAUAACUUCUAGCUCAGGAUGAGUUAAGUGUGUUUCCAGAUAUCUUAGGAAAUAUAUUGGAAUAAUCUUUCCAACGCUGCCGAGUUUACGCAAUUCUGAGUUCGUAUUAGUGAGUUAUGCCCUUUGGAAGUUGGGCUGUUCAAAUAAGGAAAUGUCCAAUCCAGAUUUUUAAAGGGUGUUUUGGUCUUUUCCAUACCAUAUUAUUUUAAUUCAUUUUUGGUGAAUUAAUUAGGGGUCAAAACUGAAUUGGUUCAGUUUAGGCAAUUGGAGAUUUACGCUAGGGUUUUUGGAGAAUGAACGCAAGAGGAGAAAAGAGGAGAAAGAGAAAAGUUCGUCGUUCUUGAAGGUUUUACUUGUGGAUUUCGACAAGGGUUGAUCCCUAAAGAGGUAUGUGAGUCUUUCAUAGCAUUGAGUUCGUUCACCUACGCGCCAAUCAUGUUUAUUUCAGCGUAAAUUCGUCCUAAAAGAGUUUGAAAGUUGAUGUUCUUGACAUCUAUUCUAGAAUUUGAUAUUGUUCUUGAGUUGGGCUGAAAUUGAGAAGUUUCUAAGAUCAUUACGUCAAAUUAUUGAGUUGGUUGAAGUUAGGUUCUUAGGUUUAGGUACAUUUGCUGGGUAUCUGUAUCUAAAAAGAAUUUGGGAAAAAGAACCGAGUUUGGGCGAAUUGGGGCUGGAAAACGAAGAAGAAAAUUCGUCAGGAAAAUCAGGGCACUGGCUCCGCAUCGCGGACCUGCUCCCCAGAUUUGGGAAAAGUCAUUUCGCGUCGCGGAGCGGUCACAGACCGUUCUGCCUCAAAAAGUAUUUUUGCGACCAAAAUUUAAAUACACCUCGACGUCGUGGACUAGUUUCCAGGCAGUGAUUUCUUGAUCAUUUAUCAUGUUUAGCUAUCUAAAAUCAUUCCUAAGUAUCAUGAGAUCUUUUCUAUCAAAAAUCUCAAUCCUUGAACCUAUAAUUCAAUUCAAGGACCAGUUAAGAGUUAAGUCAAGAGAAGUUAAGAGUCAAGUCAAGAGAAGUUCAUAGAGUUUUCCAAGGGUCUUUUACAAAUGUUUUAACUUUGUUUUAAGACUUGAGUUUGAGUUGAGUAAAGUUUGAAGUUCAUUUCUUCAAAAGAGUAUAUCGGGACUAUGUAUUUCCAAAGAGUAAAAUGUUUUUCACAUUUUAAAGAAGAAAUGAAACUUUGAUUUCCAAAAGAGCCUUUGAGCUAGUUUUCAGUGAAGAGCCUUUGAGUUAGUUUUCAGUUUAAAGAGUAAAUGCUUUCACAAUAAAGCAAGAGAGGAAACUUAGAUUUUCAAGAUAGCCUUUGAGCUCAGUUUUUGAGCAAUUAUCUCAAAUCACAGAAAGAAGUAUGUUUUUUAAAACAUAAGAGCUAGUAUUAUUUUGGGAGUAGUAUUGAGCACCGAUAUGGGGUAGAGUUCAGACAACUCACAACCCCCAUAAACCAUGUAGCCACCAUGGGUAGAAAAGGGUCCUAUUGUUUAGAUGAUUCCUUGAUGCUUUUUAGUAUAGACUAGUAGAUCCACUUAGUAGUUCAGGUUCUAUACUCAUGGCUAAGUUUAGGACGGCCCUGGCAGAGUGAGGCAAAACGCUGUAUCAUCACAAUAUCUCUUAAGUGAUGGUUGUCGGUUAGAGAAACUCUACAAUAGUAUUUUGUAUUCUUUUAUACACAGAUUAUUUGUAUUUUCAUAUACAAACAGAGUUCAUAUUGUAUCUUUGCAUACAUGCAAAAUUAUUAUUGUAUUCCUAGAUACACAAAGUUGCUUUCCAUGUUUUAAAAUCUUUUAUUUAUAUUGCAUUUAUAUUACUGCUUUAUAUUGAAAUCAAUUCAAUUCAGUUGAGUUGAGACCAUGUUUGUUUCUUCAGUUCCUUUUAAGCUUAUGUCUUGUUUUAGAUUUCCCCUCGCAUACUCGUACAUUCAAUGUACUGAUGCCAGUUGGCCUGCAUCUUUUCAUGAUGCAGACGCAUGUAACUAGGAUCAACAUCCAGCGCAUCGUUGAUCCAGUUGAGCACUCAGAGUCUAUGCUAAAAUGCACUUAAGGAAUCAUCUAAAAAGUAUGAUCUUUUACUAUCCAUGAUGGCUACAUGGUUUAUGGAGACGUGAGUUAUCUGAACUCAAACUCGUCCCUAUAUCGGUGCUCAAUAUUACUCCCAAAAUACUCAGCUCAUAUGUUUAAAAACAUAACUUUUUCUGUGGUUUGAGAUAACUACUCAAAAAUCUAUUCUUAAAAGAGAUGAUACUCAAACUGCUCAAAACUCUUUUGAAAAUAUCUGUUUCCUCUCAUCUUAAAUGUGAAAACAUUUACUCUUGGGAAUACUUAGUUGCCAUAUAAUCUUUGAAGAAAUAAACUUUACUCUUACUCUUUACUAAACUCAAAGCUUAAGUCUUAAAACAAAGUUAAAACGUUUGUAAAAGACUUCUUAAAAUAUGGUUCAUGCCGAAUUAUGGACAUGAUGGACAUGGAUGACUCAAUGCAAGGUUUUCACUAACCAUAGAUAAAACUCAAUACUUGGAACUCAAGAACUUCAAUGAUACUGCUCAUUUCAAGAAUGCUUAACUUAGAGGGUUCAUGCAGAAUUAUGAGUAUGAACUACUCAACUCAAGGACUCAAGGACUCAAAGAUACUUCUCAUCUGAAGACAGGAACUCAACACUUAAAGGCUUAGAACUUGAAGAUACCACUUCUCUGAANNNNNNNNNNNNNNNNNNNNNNNNNNNNNNNNNNNNNNNNNNNNNNNNNNNNNNNNNNNNNNNNNNNNNNNNNNNNNNNNNNNNNNNNNNNNNUUAGGAACUCAAUACUCAAGACUUAGAACUUGAAAAUACUACUCCUCUCAAUGAUGCUCAAUUUAUGGAGUUCAUGUGGAAUUAUGGGCAUGAAUGACUCCCAAUAACGAACUAAUGUAUACGACUUUUCUCCAUACUUACUUAUUCAAAACUUAACUCAAAUUGAUGGUGGAUCUAAAAGGAUUCACAAUUGAAAUCAAAGUCUUCCUUGAACUCUACUCUUUAACUCCUCUUGAAUGUGAAUUAUGAAUUCAAGAGUUAUGGUUCAUGAUAUGUAGGAUAUAAAUGAUAGUGUAGACUCAUGAAUACAUUCUCCUCACUCUCAUGCUCACUUACUUGAGUCUUGAAAUAAGUUAUUAGAAAUUGAAGAAGACUCCUCAAAAGGACUCUCUCAAAAUGAUUAAAAAAACUCUCAAGACUUAACUCUCAACUUUACCUUGAAUUUGAAUUAUGAAUUCAAGGUUAUGAUUCAUGUUAUGAAUGAUUUCUAAGUGUUUAGAAGUAGUUUAGAGUGAUUAGAAUUAAAGGGAGUGAAGGUUCACUUAAAAGGGGCUCAAACGGGACAACCGACGGAAAAUGAGUUGGGGCAACCAACCCUGGCGCGUUCCGGGCGCAGGGAGCCAGCCCCUAACUUCAGAGGCUGCAUAUGGGUGCACUGCAGGGGCGCUGCCCCAGCCCCUUGGUCGCAUUUGGGGCGCGCCACCCUAGCCUCUCCCCAGGUCAAGUUCGACGAAUUUUGCCUCUCGUUUUCUGAUCCUAAAUCACUUUUAAUCGAUUUAUUUUCUCAAGUUUCCCUUAAAUUCAAUUACUGAACCUAAGUACACACUAAUCCACUCAAAACAAUCACUUUCAUCUCGAGAAAUCAUCAAAACCCCAACAAGACAAGAUUUAGAAUGAACUUCAAGAACACUUAUCAAGAACUUAAAUCCUUUAACUUUUGAGAGUGAAAUUGCGCUGAAAGUAACAUGUUUGGCGUGUGAGUAAACAAACCCAAUAUUAUGAAAGCUUACAUACCUCUUAGGGAUCAAACCCAUGGCGAGAAUCCGCAACAACACGCAAGAAUCUUGACGAACGCUUGAUCCUCUCCUUUUUUCUCUUCUUUUCUCUUCUUGAACUCUCAACUAAAACCCUAGGUGUAUUUUAGGAUUAUAAAACUGAACCUAAUCAGAUUAGACCCCUAAAACAUUACUAAAAAAUGAAUCAAAUUUGAUUGGGUAAGGAAAAGACCAAAAUACCCCUCUAAAAUUUGAUUUUGAGUUUCCUUAUCUAGACAUCCCAACUUCUAAUGGCCAUAUCUCCCUCAUACGAACUUCAAAUUGAGUAAACUCGGUGGCGUUGGAAAGAUAAUUCAAAAAUAUUUCCUAAGGUAUCUGGUAGCACACCUAAAUCAUCUUGAGCUAGGUGUUAUGGUCGUUUGAAGUCGACCCAAAACUCAUACUUAACUUAACUUGCAAAAUUUCAGAUUUUGCUAUUUCCAAUUUAGUUCUUAUUGGAACUCAAGGUGCUACAUAUAGUUACCUUGACACUUAAAGAAAAUUUUAAUUUCUUGAUUAAAUCUCACUCACUACGAAGAACGGUUUAGGUCUUAGUUCGAAAAUUUUUCUGGGGUGUUACAAAAUUCUUCUUCAAUAAUUGAAUCUAUUAGUUAGUGAACUCGAGUAAAUGGCUAAAAACAUCCCUGAACUAUACCUCAAACUCAAACUACAUCCGUGUAUCAUUACAUUGAACAAAAAACAUCCUUCAACUAUCUAAAAAACUGCAAGUUACAUCCUUAUGUUAACUUUCUAUCAAGAAACUAAUCACUUUAAGUAGAAGCACACAACAUUCCGAUAAAGGCAAACAAUUUUGCCCACUCACUGAUCUUCUCUAUCAAGUAGUAAACUAGUAAUCAUAUUAAAAGGUAUUCUAUGACUAGCAUUAUUGUAGGAAUAUUAAUUAAUUAAGGCCUAAAGAUUUAUAACUUGGGACUUGUUCAACUUUGGUUUGUCCCUUUUUUAAUUUUACUGAGCUUGUUAUUAUGUUGUUAGCUUUUCUAUCAAGACUCUUAUUGAUCCCAUGCUAUUUCGAGUUUGCUUUAUUUUUUCAUUUUCUAAUUAGUACGUUACUCCUCCAACAACAUUCAUCAAAUUUCCAAUACUCUCAACUAAUUAAAUGAAAACUUUAAACAUAAAAAUCAGAUGUAAACCUUGCAGAUUUGUCUUUGGACAUAAAAAUAAUAAUUAUGUGAUACUAAAAUACAAGGAUUUGAACUCUUAAUUAGUGUGUGUUUUGGUGCUGGGAAAAAUAAUUUUUAAAAAUAUAUUUUCAAUUUUUCAUAUUUAAUUGACCAAAGUUUUUGAAAAAUAUUUUAUCUAAGAAGACAAGUUCUUAAAAUAUAAAAAAAAAUGAGUUGUAAUAUCGACGUAGGAAAAAAAGCUCCACAAAUGACAUUUCAAAUUCAUUCACAAAUCCUUUUAGCAAAGACAAUGUUUGUUCUAUGUUUAAGAAGACAGUGAGGGGACAAAAUCUCUUUUCAUUAGGAGAUGGUCGCUAUAUUUUUGAUAGAAAAUUAAGGAGGGAUGUAACUUGUAACUUUCAAAAUAGUUCAGCGAUGGUUUUUGUUCACAAUAAUAAUAUAAGGAUGUAGUUUGAGUUUAAGGUAUACUUAAAGGAUGUUUUUGGCCAUUUACUCUAGUGAACUCCUCCAUUAAUGACUAGUCUAAAGUUAGAUUCUUGUAACUUUCAAUUUUGAUUUUGAUUUUGAACUACCAACAAAUUAUCAAAGUGAUGAAAAGUAUGUGAUUUGGUGGUGGGAAUUGACUUAGUGAUGAAAACCUGAUGAGGGCGGUGACCUGGUGGUUGAGGUGAGCCACCGCUGAUGUUUAGUAUGGAUCUGAUGAUGAAGAUUGAAGGGAAGAGAUAAAGAAGGUAACAAAUAAAUAAAAGGAAACAUAUUUUUAAAAAAGUAGAAUAUUAAUAUAAAUUAAAUAAAAUAUUUAUGAAGUUAAUAUUCUAAUUAUUUUUUGAUCUCUCACUCUCCCAAAGAGAGUGAACUAUACCUUCUUUGCCACAUCAACAUUUAGGGAGCAAAUAACUCCAUUUUAAAAUAGUCCAGGGGUGUAAUAGGACUCUUGUAAAGUAUGAGUGUGUAGUUGGGAAUCCGACUAUUGGUUGGGGGCAGUGGCGGAGCCAGAAAUUUUAAUAAUGGGGUUCAAAAUCUGAGAAGUAAACACACGAACUAGUGGAAGAGGGUUCGACAUCUAUUAUACAUACAUAAAAAAUAAUUUUAACCAUGUAUAAAUAGUAAUAUUUUUCGUCGAGGGGGUUCGGAUGAACCCCUUCAUUACAUGCUGCCUCCGCCCCUGGUUGGGGGGCUUUUGGCCAUUUUCUCUUCUUUUAUAUGGUGCACUAAGUUUCAAGUGUUAGUGCACUUUUAGUCUCUUUAUUAACAUCCAUUUACUCAUUAACGUUUUGAUCGAUCCUUUACACAUCCAUUUAUGGCCUCCGCUGUAUACGUUCUGGUACAAAACAAAUUAAUUCUUAGAUUUAUCUUAGCAAUUGCAGAUGAGUCUUCAUUUAUACUUGUUUUAUUUUUUGGCUCUGCAUCUUCAUUGUUUGGUGUGCACCAUUAAAGAUUUGCUAAUUCUUUAACUUUCUCCUCUAUUUUCCAUACACAAUUAAUAGGCUGACUAAGCCUUUGGGUUUUUCCUGAAUAAAAGUUUCUUGUGCUUUGCCUAUAUGUAUAUCUGGAGCAUAACCAAAGAAUAAAAUAAAAACAAGAAAAAAGGAAAAAUAUAAUGCAUGUAUCAAUAUCUCAAAUUAGAGUCGGAUAAAGGGUGUGUUCUAAUCAAAUUUUUUGGAAAAGAUUUUGUUUAGGAAAACAAGUUUCAUACGUGACACUUCAAAUGAAAAAAAAGACUUUGUUUAGGAAGUAGGGAAAACAAGUUUCAUAUGUGACAUUUCAAUUGAUUAUAUUGUCCGCCCACUCUCUAAGACACCACAUCUUCACCUCAGUACUCCCAUAGCUUCCAUACCCACUACCCUACACAUCUACCCUACCUCCGUCUCUCAUAGUAUUUGUCUAGAUUAUACGUAAAUGCUUUUAGAAUAACCAGCCAAAUAGAGUCAACAGGAGGAGACUAGUAAAGAAGUAGUCAUGUGGUUUUCUAGUCUUUUCAUUAACUAGUCAAUAGUUAUUCUUGAGCUACAUAUCAAGUUAGCAUAUAGAGCAAUUUUGCAGGUAAUUUAAGGAGCAUUAAACAUUAAUUAUCCUUUUCUACUAUUAUCAAUCUACAAAUCCUUGGAAAUGGAACAAUUUUAACUUACCCAAUAUUGAAAUGUGAAAGAUGGACAGAAGUAAAAAGAAUUAGCGUAACAAUGGCAGCAAAACCCUAUAUCCCCAAAUAGGACAAAUUCAGAUUCAGAUUUAAAAAAAUAAUCAGAAAUCUAACCUUAUAAGCUGAUGAAGUAGAAGUGGCAAAAAGAGAUACUGGAUUGAUUGAGUGGUGUUGUAGAAAUACCUCAACAGUUGACUACUUCCUCACAUUUCUUUUGUCAUUAUAUUUUAUACAACUCCUUUUAAUUCCUUUUAUCUAAGUUUUUAAUUAUGCGGUGGAGUAAUAAGUACUUAUUCAUAUUUAGUUAGAGGUUUCGGAUUUGAGUCUUUUUGGCUAUAAAAGGAUCUUUGUUAGGGAGUGCUUUACCCAUAAUUUGAGAUUUUUUGGCACAAAUUCAAAUUUAGUGAGGCUCUAAUUUGGAUAUCGAACACUGAGUGGAAAACCAAAAAAAGAAAAAUUACCAUAGGGCUCAUUUGGUAGGUGGAUAAAGCUACAUCUACAUGGUUUUUCAUGUAUUUAAUUUAUAUAAUGUUUUGUUGGUAGAAUGUUGUAUAAAAGUUAUUCAUGUAUUAACAAAGAUGUUUCUCUCUACGAUAUGUUCCCGCAAGAGAAAGAGUUUGUUAUUUGAGGGGGGGGGGUUAUUUGGAGUCUUUUAACCACAAUUUGAAGCCUCGACAUAUCUCUUUUAUCCAUGGUUCAAGGCCCCGACGUAUUUUUUUUGCCACGGUUCGAGGCCCCAACAUAUCUCUAUUCGCCUUGGUUCAAAUCCUAACAUGUGGUUCAUUUGGGUUCUUCGGGGUGCCUUCACCAAAGUUCAAGUCUGGAAUCAGCCAUUGCAGUUCUUGAAAGCUUUUAAUGUAGCUAGUGUUAUUCAUAGUACUUCUGUGUACUUAUCAGACCUAAGUGAAUCCAAACUCGUUUGAGUUAUUUACUUUCCAAUUGCGCACGAAUAUACGUACUUGCUGGGCUUAUAGGGUCCAGUUAGGUUAUAGAUAAUUGUUUUACUUUACUACUUCGUUCUAUCCACACUUGUGAGCUAUAUAGUUAGAUUUUCUGUUAUUGCUUUGUUCAUUUUACCUCUAAUUACCGUUACUUUCAUAUUGUUUUUACUUUCCAAGUUUAGUCAAACUAUGAUGCCUACUCGACACAUGUUGUUUUGAUAUUCAUGCUACACUCCACAUCUGUUUUCUUGAUGUAGAUUUGAGCACCUGCUGAUAACGGUGAUUCGAGCCUAAGUAAUGCGAAGAUCUUCUGAGAUGAAGGGUGAGUUGUUGGCUUCCUAGUUCGACUUAUCUCCAUAUGUAUAUAGUUUUUUACCUGUCUUUUGUAUUCGAGACAAGUAUAUUAAUUAGUAAGUCAAUAGCAUAGGCUCUAAACUAUGACUAAAACAUUGAGUGCAUGACAUGCACAUCUUACUCCUUAUUUUCCUUAUUCAGGGCCGUCUUAACCUCUAGGCCACUAAAGCCAUCGCUUGGGGUCCCAUAUAUUUUGGGUCCCCCAUUUUAAAAAAACAAUUACUUAUAUAUGUUAUUUUUUUAAAAAUAAAUUAUAUGUACUAUUAGCGUUAUGAUUUAUGCUAAAGAAAUUGCAUAUGAGAUGAAAAUAUACCUUAAUUUCGUAAGAAACGGUUUGAUGAAAAUAUGGAUAGAGAAAUCACAAAGUCCCUUGAAUAAUCUUUUAGUGUUUAUUGAUUUAUAUAUGUAGGGUAGAUCAAACUAUUUUUUCAUUUCAAAAUAGAUUCGAACCAAUUGAAGCAUAUAUAUGGAAAUAUUUUUGAUUUCUUAUUUAGUAGUAAAAUGUUGAGAUCACUAGAUGAUGAAUUUAAAAAAUAUUGUCUUAACCUUGAACUUUCUUUAACAUGUAAUAGUUAUUCUGAUAUUGAUGGUUUAAAUUUAUUUUUUGAAUUAAAAGUGUUAAGGGAAAUAAUACAAAUAGAAGAUAAUGAUCUAACAAAAAUACUCAAUCAAAUAAAAAGACUUGAUUCUUUUUCAAAUACACAUAUUGCUUAUAGAAUAAUGUUAACAGUUCAUGUAACCGUUACCUCAGCCGAAAGAAGUUUUUUCGAAAUUAAAAUUGAUUAAAUCUUCUUUAAGAUGAACAAUGUCUCAAGAGAGAUUGAAUGAAUUAGCUAUAUUACCAUUUGAAAAAUAAUUAUUAAAACAAAUUGAUUAUGAAACAGUACCUAUUGACUUCGCAUCUAAAGUAGCUAGAAAAGAAGAUUUUAAAUAAAAGUAUAUAGGAUGAAAAAAAUAAAAUAUUAGGGCCCCUCUAUUCAGUUUUCCUUUAGGCCCCUAAUGUUGUUGAGUCGGCCUGGUUAUUCGUACCUAUUUUUUUCAUACUUUCUAACUUCACUAGUACAUUAUCAUUUGUUAAGGAAAAUUAUGUAAACUGAAUAGUAGAUGGCCUGAUCCACUUAUGAGUGAGUGCUAGUUCAUUGAUUGAUACAACUAAUUCACAUUAAAUAAUAUAUAUUACAUUUUUGAACUGUUAAACUAGAAAUAAGAUUAAGGAUAAGGGAACUCUGUAUUAACUUCACUUUUCCUUAUUAGUAUCAAAAGUUUCUCGUUUAGGAAAUAGGAAGUUUUGAAGGACUAAUAUUAUCCUUUCUUUUAAAUUGAACUCUAUCUAAUGGCUGAUUCUAUUUAUGAAUCAAUCCCUUAGGUGCAUUAUUUCCAUAGGUUCCAACAUUGGUAACAAAAUCUAGCUUUCUCGCUUGAAUUGGCAUAAUUCUAUACUUCCCUCAUCUUAUCUAUCACGGAGGCCGCUCCCACCUUAUCCCUUAUAUCCUCAUUCUAAUCUUUAUCACUCCGAGUAUGAACACGCAUCCACCUCAAUAUCCAUAUCUCUGCAACAUGCAUCUUCUAGACAUGAGAGUUCUUGACUGGCCAACUCUCAUUUCCAUACAACAAUUUACAUACACACUCUAUAUAAAUACACACAUACAUAUAUUGGUGGAAAAAUCAUCAAUAGAUGAAACUUAAACAAUACUCUCUCUAUCUCAAUUAAUGUGACAAUUGGAUUUUAUCUUUUAAAUUGUUAAUUAUUGUGAUUUACCUUUUCACAUAAUUUUCAAAUAUAUAAAUUUUAUAUAAAAAAAUUUAAAGCUUCUGUAUCCGAAUUUACUGUCAAAUUAUAGAAGUUUGAAUCUCAAAAUUUCAACUAAUGCCACGUAAAUUAAAUCAACCCUAACACUCAAAAAAGCUACAAAUAAUUCAAACAUAGAAAGUAAAAAAGAAGUAGAAAAAACCUUGAUAUAUAUAUAUAUAUAAAUAAAUUAUAUAUUGAUUUGUAAUUGGUUGCUGUCACUUCUGAGCAAAAUCGUGCACACUCAAUGGAUGCUGUUACAAGUAAUAUUGGUGUACAAAUAACUACCAAAAACAAAGGGAAAAUGCCAAGAGUUGGGGUUGAUGCAUCGCGAGUUGGUUCAGGCCAAAAAAUAAUGGAUUCAGGACACAAACUAAUGGAUACAUCUGAUGUUGAAGAUGCUGAAGAUUCUGGACAGCAUGUUUUGCAAGUUGAAACCAAGAAUGCAACUAAAAAUUGGACACUAGUUGCACACAAAAAUUCAACUAGUAAUCGGAGCCUUUCCCGACUAAUCAAAAUAAUUCUCCAUGUAGUGAAAAGGGUGCGACUGAAAAUUUUCAUGACAGUGAGAAGAGGCAAGAUAUUAGUAAUGCCUCAAGAUACCUAUUUUGUUCGAAUAGCUUUGAUGCUUUAUCAAAGACUACUGGAAAGAAAGUAAAGUUAACAGAGAAUGACAACGAUUUGAUCUAAGAAAAGCAAGUCUCACCACCUACUUUGAAUAGCAAAUUAAGUCCAAAAGCUCCCAUAUUUGUGCCUAAAUGCGUGAUUGUAAAGAAGAAUGAGACAAGGGCCUUAGUGUCAGAUACAAUUGAUUUGAGCGAGGAUUCUCUUGAUGAAGAUGAGGAAGACAAUAUGCUUGAUUUGGGCGAGGAUUCUCUUGAUGAAGAUGAGGAAGAUAUGCUGGACAUAUGCUUUGACAGAGUGGCUAGGGAAGGAGAUAUAUCACCUCGGCAACAAAUAAGUAGAAGCAACAAAAGCAAAAAGAAGACACAUGGAAGGCAACAUAGUUGAGACGGUAAAAUGACUGAGGAGUUUGUUCCAAGGCACCUACCAAUGCGACAAGCAAAGCAGAACCAUUUGACAGUAUCAAUUGGUUCAACAAGAUCCAAUAAAUCCAUAAAGAAAGUAUGAAUUAUCAAGUGUUGUUGGAUAAGUUUGAAGAAGAAGACAACAGAAAAAUACUUUAAGUUACUUUUGAUGGGCAAUCAAUCUUUUUUAAUUCAUGCGUUUGUAAUUGAAAGUUUGAGGUUGAUAACUCAACUUUCUUCUUGAUUGACAUAUUUUUACAUUAUUUAAGCAUCCUAGUUUGUAAUAUCAUCAUGGAGUGUAUUACAAACUUUGUGGUGAUCAGAAAAUACUUAGUUCUCUCUAGCUCUUAUUUUCUUCAUGCUUGUUAGGUAGUAGACGUUAGGUACUUCAUUAGGAUUAGUACGGUAAGGCCUACCCCCUUGCUUGCACUUAUCCCUAUUGAUUUUUUUUAUGUUUAAUAAAAGGCCACUAGACACUGUCUAGUGGUAAAUUUGCGGGAAAAAAAAACCUUGAGAUAAUAUGCCUUGCGAAUUUCCUCUUGAGAUGCUAAAAGACUUACAUCAAGAACAUCAUAAUACUCUGUCUCUUUAACCAUUUUCUUUUCUUUUUCCAAAAUCCCAAUUAACAAAAAACUACUCUUUUACCUCUUCCAAUACUCUGAUUACCUUUUUUUGCGCUUGUAAAAUUUUAAAGUAGGAGCGGAAAACCAUUUGACUGUAAGGAAAAGAAACAAGCCGUGUUGAGAAUUGAUUUAAAAUCUUUUGUUUAAGUUUACUGCUUAGGAUAAGUUUUACAGUAGGUUGAAUAAGUCUUUUACUAGAAUUGAAAUAGUCUUUAUUAGUUACUACUUUUCUGGUAGUAUUUAGUCAAGUGGCGUCUAUUAUCUUUCUGAGUUUGUUAGCCUAUAAAAGGCGUAGAGACUUCUAGUUAAUAAUCUCUCUUCUUCCUACAAGCCAAACAAAAAAAAUGAUGAGUGAUCCAAACAAUUUUAAGCUCAAACACAAUGUUAUAAGAAGGUAAGAUAAGAAAUAAUGUCACAAUAUUACAGGUAAAUCGUUUUCUUUUUCCUGUUUUUCAAUUUUUAUCACUAUAAUAUUAUGUAUGCCAAAUCUCUAAGAUGAGGCCUCAUCCAUUGGUAUGGUAUAGAAGUAGCGUUCAAUUUGCUCGACUGCAUUAUCCUCGCCCUGAGUCUCGUUUCCUCUCUUUAUUGGAACUAGGCUCUCCUUGUAAUUGAAAACCCAACAGCCAGCAAUGAAAAGGUCCAGCUGAAAUCCAAGAUCUGUAACUUGCCUUGUUUUAGGGUCAUAUAGCACCAGCUGUGAAGUUUCUGUGAUCUCGAAAACCAUCUUAUCGUUAUCCCAGAUGUUGAGAGGCCAAUGAGCAUCUAUAUGAGGUUGAAUAGUAAGAACUUUGGACCAAUUUCCCUCUUGUUUCAUUACCCACACAUUGUAUAUGGAUGUCAUUGGUUUGCCAGGGUCACCGGUUAACAUAGCAAGUAAGCCGCCAUGCAAUGUAAGUGUCCCCCAAUGUUCACUUGGAAUAUGUGGGACUUGUAUCUCCCCAAACUGUUCGCUGUCCAUGUCAAAAGAGCGAAUCGUGUAGAUAUCAUCAAGGCCCCUACAAAGCCAAUAAUAAACCCUGUUGAGAUAAGUGGCAUCAAGGGGUGCAGACAAGGUAGAACUGGGAGGGAAUUCAGGAGUAAGGUGUUUCCAUGAAUUGUUGCAUGAGGAAUAGACACAGGCAUAGACACGAUUAUUAGCACCUUGUCCCGGCAUAUCCCAGAAUACUCGAAUCCAUACAACCUUAUAAUCUAGAGUCAACAGGUCAAAUCCCAAUCCAAACU
rnacentral:lncRNA from 1 species